rnacentral:lncRNA from 1 species
CGGCUUCUCCCUCUUACAAGUCUCUACAGAGUACAGAGACCCAACCCUCUCCUCUCUGAGAAAAAUUGGAUACAGAUAGAGAGGAGAAGAGAAUAAUCUUUCAGAUUCUUUCCAAGAAUGGGAGAAGCGGCGGUGGAGAUAGUGAAGCCUCGUACGGACACACGAGAGUACAGAAGAAUCGUUCUCCGGAACUCUCUCGAAGCCCUCCUCAUCAGCGAUCCUGAUACCGAUAAGGUCACUCUUUCAAUUCUUGAUGGUUUUUCUUGUUUUUCUUGGACGCGAUGGUCAGAUAAUCGGCUAUGUUGAUUUUUUUUCCUUCUUUUUCUUUCUUGGUCUCAGGCGGCGGCAUCCAUGAGUGUGAGUGUCGGUUCCUUCAGCGAUCCCGAGGGCUUCCCAGGCCUUGCACAUUUCCUAGGUAAUUUUUGGUUUCUUGUCAAUGAAAUUUACAAGUGUUUUGUAGUUGUAGUGAUAGAUACCAUGUCUGAGAAUCGAAUUUUGAAUUGUUCGUUCAAGAAUGGAAACUUUGAAAAGUUUUCGUUAAAUAAUGGAAGAUUUUGACAUUUUUAGUUUCUUAUGAAUGAAAUUAUAAGUUUCUUGGUAUUCUAGGAUUCUAGUGAUAGAAACAUCCGGAUUUUUGGAUUGCCUUGUCUUGCUAUGCGUUUGAGUGAAUUUGAAUUUUCAGUUCGAUAUCUUACUUCUUUUCUUUUUCUUUUUAAGUCUUAGUUAAAAUAGAAUCAUAUAUUUGUAUUUAAAAUUUUUUUGGUUUAUUAUAAAUGAAAUUAUAAGUUUAUUUUUAGUUCGAGUGAUAAUUGCGAUGUCUGGGAAUGAAUUCAUUUUCUUUGCUUUUUUUUUUUUUUUUUUUUUUUUUUUUUUUUUCCAAUUUUUGGUCCAUGCACACAAAAGUAUAGAUUUCUUUGCAGUUUUGGUAAGGACAUGUGCUGAUUGUUGUCCCAUGAAUUUAAAUUCUUUCAUUUAAUCAUAUAUAUUCUUUGUGGUUUUAGUGAUUAAUACGUGAUAAACGAGCAUUUUAUGCUUCAAUUGAGUUUGAAUUCUUCUUGGGUAAUGGAAACCUCUUGCAAUUUUUGGUCUGUAUAACUGAAAUCAUGAGUUUCUUUAUAGUUUUAGUAAUAGAUGUGCUAAUUGUUGCAUGGGGAUGCCUCACUAGGAAUUUGAAAUCUGGUUUAGUGAAGGAAUCUCUUGUAUAUUGAUGUGCACAUAGAAUACUUAAAAAAGAAGACAUAGUUCAUUCAGUGUUGCGGUUACAACCAGGGUUUGAAAAAUCGGAAAUCGGAAAUAAUUGUCGAAAUUUCGGUGAAAUAUCGCUUAUCUAUGGUGGUCGAAAUGAAAUCGGCAAAGACCUGGCAAAGACGGAAAAUCGCCCAAAAAUCGAUGAAAUCAAUUGAAAAAAUCCUAUAUAAAUAUAUAUUUUAAUUUAUCCGUGUUUUUUUAAUUUUUUUUUUCCAAUUUAUCUUUUAUUUAAAAUUUAUAUCACCCUUUUAUUUUAUAUUAUCUUUUUAUUUUUAACUAUUUUUUAUAUUUAUCUCAUUAAUCUCAUUUUAAAAAAUUACUACCACUUCACUUUAAUUUUUUUAUAUUUAUCCUUCUAAUUUUAUUUAAUUUUAAAUGUUUUUAUUUUAAAAAUAUUAAAAAUAUGAAUUUAUUCAAAAAUUGAUAAAAUAUAAAAAAAUUAAUAAAGUUUUAAUAUUUUAUAAAUUAAAAUUAAUUUGAUAAAAUGAAUUAUUAAUAUAAUUUUUAAUAAUUUUAAUUAUUUAAAUAAAUUAAUGUUAAUAGCAAAAAAAUUGUCACCACAAAUUUGUAACAAAAUUUUAGAAAUUAAAUCUCAAAUAAAAUAUUUUAUGUAAAUUGAUUUAAUUUUUUAUUUAAAAUGUAAUAAAACAUGUUUUAAUAAAAAUAGUUUUUAAUUCUUAAAAUAAAUGAAUAUAAAUAUAUUAAAGGAAUUUAAGUUAAUUUUUUCUUAAAAAAAUUGAUAAACAUUAUCUUUGAUCAUAUCUAUGUCAUACUCACAAAAUAACUUUAAUAUGUGUUUUCCUGUUUAUUUUAUCAUUUUUUUUUGAAGUUUUUCUAAGAAUUUUUAAUAAUUUCUGUCUCAUUGAUAUUUUUGUCAAAAUAUUCACCAAUAUUAUUGAUAUAUCUGUAAAAUUCCAGUACUGAUAUAUUUGUGUUUGCCGGUAUUUCAAACCUUGGUUACAACCAAGAGAUACUUCAUAUUCCUAUGAUCAUAAAUUUGCAGCCAUACCUUGAUUGGGGGUUGAUACGAGCAAAUUAUUUAAUUGCUUUCAUAUUCUACAGGACAACUAUAAGGCCUGCUGUGUUAUAGUACAUGAUGAUGAACAAUUAGAAACCAUGCUAACAAAUGAGAAAAGCCGAAAUGAGGGGUGUUAAGAUGGAUGAGUGGUAAUAUGAGAAGAUAUAGAUUAAGAAAUGAUUGUAUUUGUAAGAAGUUAGAGAUGGAAUCAAUGAAGCAGAGGCCUGCCUAGAAUUGUAAAAUAAUAAAAAAAUAAAAAAUCUUUUUAAUUGUUUUAUUGAUGGUUUGAGUUGAAUGGUAAUUUAAUGUUCAGUGCCUGUUGGAUUAUACUGGAAAAUAAAUUAAUUGUCUUUGCAUGGCUGAGAAGAUUUAUAUAUCAAGAGUUGUGAAUUCAAUAUACCCCAAAAACCAAAAAAUAAAAAAUAAAAGGAGUGGUAUGGUUUAUGAUUAAUUGUGAAUUGAAAAUUGGUUGUGGAGGCUUGAGGCAGAUUUAGUUAUGGUGCAGAUUAGGGUGAAAAAUCAUGAUCAUUUAAAGUAUUCUCUAUAGGCCGUCCACCUAAAUGUAGGGAAGAAGGAACACAUUUACAGUUUCAUAAGGAGAGCAUGAGCAAUGGUCAAAGGCAGGGUUCCUUCAUGGGAAAAUGGGUUACUUAAACCAGGAAGCUACUUUAACCAAAUGCAUUUUAACAAAUUUUAGAACAUGUUACUUCACAUUUUUGAAUGUCUUUAUGAAAUCUUAAUGACAAGUUGAAACCUUCUGAAAUUCCAACCUGGUACAGUGAUCAGAUCUUACACUAGUGCAGUUCCAAGCAGGUGUAGUGGUGGGAUCUUAUGCUUGUGAUUGGAUGUUAAUUUGUCAAGUCUUUGAUGUUCAGUUGUUUGGAAUGAAGAUAACCUGAAAUUUGCAUUUUUAUGGUCAUUUCCUUUUUAACCAGCCAGUUUGUAAUUUCAGACUAUAUUUUUGGCUUUUGCUUAAAUUUUAAAAUCAAUCUCUUGACUUGAUGGGUAGAAUUGCUCAUACUGGCAGCUUUGUAUUUUGAUAAUUUGGGUACAUAAACACUGUGUAACAUGCUUAUGAAGUUGCCCUAUGUGGAAAUGAAAUUAAAUUGCAACAACUUCUCCUUGCUUCUCCAGAUGAAUUAAAGAAAAAUCCUAUAUGGAUUUAAUAGGAAUUUUUUUCUGAAUUUUUUUUUAUGCCAAGUUAUAAAUUUUUGCCUAGCAUUUUAUACAUAUCUUGUUUAAUUCCAAAUUUUAUUACAUUGAACACUUAUUAACAUUCUCUUAAGUCUAGAAUACUUUAGGCAUCUUUCUUUGGUUAAGGAGCUUUUGUGGCUUUGCCUUUGUGGAGUACUCUUGUUUGAAAUUUUCUUUGUGUGAUUUGCCUUCUGAUUCUUCUGUUUUGCAGAGCAUAUGCUGUUUUAUGCCAGUGAAAAAUAUCCAUUGGAAGACAGUUACUCAAAGUAUAUUACAGAGGUACUAUCAUAACUUUAAUGGAGAUCUAUCAAAAAAAAUUCAUACCUUUAGUGGGGAUGCCUGGUUAAUCUUGAUUAUAUUAUUAAUAAUGGGUCACUUGUUCUGGAAGUUUCACUCUUUUUUACUCUGUUUUUCUUUCUGAUUAUCCAUUUUGUUCUUUGUAAUGGUAGAUCUUUACUGCAAGAAAUGGAGUUGGAGGAUGAAAACAUCUUUUCUUGCAUUUGGAUUCACCCAAAGGAUGCCUCUUCUAGUGAGGUGGUCAGUCUAAUUAUAAGGCAUUGGGAUGUAAGAGAGUAAAAGUUUUCCUCCUUGAAGCCAAAUUCUUAAUUGUUCAAUGAGCCUUUUUUUUUUCUUUUCUGUUCAUAAGUCCUAACCUCAAGCGCUAUUUUAUGUCUUUCAAUCGGGUUAAAAGAAUCUUAUUUCAGGUUUAAAUACAAAGGAACUAUUUUAAGGAAUUUCAGGGAAACUUGGUCAGAUAUUCCCCUUUAUGACGUGAUUUUCUGUGGUCCAAUUACCAAGAUAGCCUGACUUGCAACUUAGUGUUUCUGAAUAGAAAUAACAUUAUUUGAAAGUGUUUCUUUUCAUCUGGUACAUGAGACAAAGGACCAGAAGACUUUAGUAGUAAUGUGGCUUAGCUGUACUUCUAUUCAUGCAUCUUGGAGAGAGACCUUUUUUCUUGAGUGUGUGUGGAGAAUUUGUCUAUUAGGGUCUUUUUUGGGGUCAUUUGUAAGUGGAAGAGCUUUUUCUAUGAUUAUCUUUUGCAAGAAUUAAGUCAUGGUGGGAAAGUAUUAUGCUUGUUAUCAUUUCUCAAGAUGAUUUCUUUUUCUUCCUUUUCCCCUUUUAUGGAGGAUUUAUUGUGUUUCCAUAUGCCCUUUAUCCAUUAGUUAGGUUUCUCCUCCUUAACUUGUGUGUGCAAUUCUGUUUCCCUUUCCUCAAUGCCAUUGUAUAUCUUUUAGGAGCCAUAGCUUGGUGCGAUGGUAGAUUCUUGGGCUUUAAAGCAUGAAAAUGCAAGUUUGAGUCUGUGCAGCCACUUCCUGUAAAUUGCUGAAGGUUAGGCCCUUUAUUGGUCCACCCUUUCCCAUUUCUUGGAAAAGCUAAAAUAUAGGACUUGCACUGGGUAAUGGUGUUUUUAUGAAAUGAAGAGAUAUUUUAUUAUUUAUUCCAUAUAUAUUUUUGUAUAAAAUAUUUCUUGUAUGACUGCUGCCUUAUGUUAUUGACCUAUGUUUUCCUCUUGUUUUUUUUUUUUCAUGCAUAGCAUGGCGGUAGUACAAAUGCUUUUACAGCUUCUGAGCACACCAACUAUUUCUUUGAUGUGAACACUGAUUGUUUUGAAGAGGCUUUGGACAGGUAGAUGCUUUCUCUUUCUCUCGUCUUUUGGCUGUGGUUUUUGUAUAUCUUCUUUUAUAGUUAGCAAUCUCUGAUGUUUUCAUAUGGUUUACCAAUCAGAUUUGCACAGUUCUUUGUCAAACCAUUGAUGUCAGCUGAUGCUACCACUAGAGAAAUUAAAGCUGUUGAUUCUGGUUAGAUUUUCCUUUGUGAUUUAAAUGCAAGCUUCCAUAUUUAAUGAAUUAUUGUUAAUCAUCAUCUCUUUUUCCUUAUCCAGAGAAUAAAAAAAACUUGCUGUCUGAUGCUUGGAGAAUGGAUCAGGUAUCCUUUAUUUUAGCAUGUAAUGUAAUACCUAUGCUAACUUUUCUUAGGCCAUUUAGUAAGUGCAAUAUUCUGGAAAUUUAAACUUUGUGGGCCCUAUUUCAAAUUUAAAUUCAUUAGCAAACCCUGGAAAUAGUUCAAAAAUCAUAUUGCAACUCUCAUGUUUGUGUUGCUGUUACCAUAAUUGCCUAUUCCACAGUUCAGUUUCCUUCUUUUCCCACUUUCUGGAAGAAUUGGUGGCCACAUGCCCCCUUGCUCUCAUCUUAGUAUAUUUUUAGUUGUAGUAAGCAACAGGAGUUUGUGGAACCAUUUUCUCAAAACUUCUUUAGAAAUUCAUCAUUCCACCUAGGUCUAUGUCAUAUAGUAGUAUUGUUUCUAUGAGAAAUAGAAACAAUGAGAAAUAUACUUCUAAUUGCUUUUUCUUUUUUCUGCAUGAAAUUGCCUUCUCUACAGCUUCAAAAACAUGUUAGUGCAGAAGGUCAUCCAUAUCAUAAAUUCAGUACAGGUCAGUGACUUCAUAUUUUUUGAAUAAUAAUCAGUUAAGCAAAAAAAUUACCUAUUUUCCUGUACUAGAGUCAGGUGCAGCCUGUUAAGUUAUUGUUCUUAUUAGUAUUAAUGAAGAUAAGGGUUCUGAAAACAGAAAAAGGCUUCCAAAUUUUUUGUUUUGUCUUGUUCACUUAAAUUGAGAGAGAGAGAGAGAGAGAAGCUAUCAUUUCUUACAACUAAAUGUGGCAAAAAAUUUUCAUGCAUAGGAAACAGGGAUACUUUGGAGGUAAAGCCAAAAGAGAAGGGUCUAGAUACAAGGCAUGAGCUUAUUAAAUUCUAUGAAGAGCAUUAUUCAGCCAACCUCAUGCAUUUGGUUGUAUAUACAAAAGGUAAGUAGUUUUCCCUGCAAUUGUUAGGACAUGAGUACACUUGGAAUUGUGUGAGAUGUCUACAAUUAUGACUUGUUGAUAUUGCAGAGAGUCUUGAUAAAAUUCAGAGCCUGGUGGAGCACAAAUUCCAGGAAAUCCAAAAUAAAGAUCGUAUCAAUUUCCAUAUUUGUGGUCAGCCUUGCACAUCUGAACAUUUACAGGUAUUCAUAGUACUAGUGCAGUGGCCUGGUAAAAUGGCCAUAGUUGUCGCUACUGACAUUUUUCCCACAAAAAUAGCACUAGUUGUCACACUUCUAGAACUUAUUUUAAUGCAAAGAAAUAUUAGUAGUGUAAUGUCUUCAACUUCUAAAAAGAUAUUCCCAUGUUUCCUUCUUUAUGUCGUCCAUACAUUCCAGAUUCUUGUCAAGACUGUACCAAUAAAACAAGGUCACAAGUUGAUAGUUGUCUGGCCAAUAACUCCAAGCAUUCACAAUUACAAGGAAGGGCCAUGCAGAUAUCUUGGUCACCUUAUUGGCCAUGAAGGGAAAGGAUCAUUAUUUUACAUCUUGAAGACAUUGGGUAAGUUCUAGACAUCCUUGACAUGCUUCAUAUUUUGACACUUUGGAUUGUUGUUGUUCAUUCAUGCUUGGAAGCUGAAAUCUUGCUUGGAAUUUUUGUAGGCAUUGAUAUGGUUGUAAUUUUCACUAUGAUACUUUGAACUUCCUUUUAGAUUAAUAACAUUAGUAUAACUUCUGACUAUAAGAAUGCUUUAUAUAUAUGUAUAUUUGAAUUUAUACCACCGAUUUCAUAUAACGAACAAAAAUGAAUAAAUAAUACUAAUUCCUUCUUCAAUAUAAAAUAAAUUUUAUAUAAGUUUUAAAUUAAUAACAUUAGUAUAGCUCUUGGCUAUAAUGAAAUAUAAAAUUAUUUCUAAAUAGCUUCUAGCUAUAAGAAUGAUUUUUCCAUUACUUCUAUUCAUAUGAUAAUUUGCAUAUAGUAUUUGGAAAUAAUAAUAUUAAAUGAGAUUGUUCUCUAACUAUGACAAAUCAAAAUAAUUUGUUCAAACUACCCAUCAAAAAAAAAAAAAAAUUUGUUCAAACUAGUAAUCAAUUUUUUUGGUGGUUCACCAAGGCAUGGUGACAGUGUGUAGCUGAUUUCAGCUGGAUUAGGAUAGGAGGUGGACACUGAUUUCCUUGAGAUAUGAAUUGACACCCUCAGACCUCACACUGUAAUGGUGGCUGUAUCAUGUGAUUUUUACUUUCUAAAAGUCAAGAAUCUUGGUUCAAUUUAUCACUGCACAAUAAGAGUGUUCACUCUAGGUCAACUCCCUGCUUUCCUAAAGAUUAUUGAAAUCUUCUGCAAAUAUACAUAAUUUUAUAUUAACAAACUUCCUUCAGGGCACCACUCCUCUCUUCUACGCCCCCUCCUGUCAGCAUUUUCCUCAAACUCAAACACCUCAGCAGCCCACAGGAUUGAUCUGUUUCAUCAAAGAAUCCACCACCAACACCUUAUAAUAGGUGUGGUAAGGCACAACCACACCUUAUAAUCUCUUACACAAGCACACUGACAAAGGUUGUAUAUGCUUGGUAAUACUGGUUGAAUACAAAUGUUGAACAUCCUACGGUUUCUAUUUUACUUUUGCACGUUUUUUUUUUUUUUUUUUAACUUCUUUUUUAUAGGAAUUUUUGCAUGAUUAUUUACUGGUUAUAACAUGUGUAUGCUUUUUUUAUGUCUACUUUUCUGAAGGUACAAAUACUGUUCAUUGGAUAUACCUGAUUUAGUUACUUCUGAAAAAAAUAAAAUAACUUGCAGGAUGGGCUACUAGUUUAUCAGCAUGGGAAGAGGAUUGGACUUGUGAAUUUUCUUUCUUUGAGGUGGUUAUUGAUCUAACUGAUGCUGGUCAUGGUUAGUAAUUUUUUUUCUCAAUAUCCAUUUUUCCUUCUUUUGAUUAAUGCAAUAAAUAUAUUUAUUUUUUUUGUGGAGAUUUCAUUGAUCUUCUUUUCCUACAGAGGGAGCUUUGUUUAUAUUUUUUUCCUUUGUGAGAAAUUCGCAGUGUCCUUUUUACUUGUGCUGAUUGAUUUGCUGGACUGACGUUGGUGCCCUUAUCUGUAUUACAGAACACAUGCAAGAUAUUGUUGGGUUGCUCUUCAAAUAUAUUAGCCUCCUACAGCAGACUGGUGUUUGCAAAUGGAUAUUUGAUGAGGUACAUGUUGUUGGUGCCUCCAUGAUUGAGGCUUCAAAUGAUAAACUUUUAUGGGAAAGAUCAUUUCAUUGCUUAAGAUGACAUAUUAAACAUUUACAAUUGUUAAAGAGUAUGAUAUGCGUUGUAGACCCAAAUCUUAUAAACUUAAGCUUUUAGGAAAAUUGAUAGUUCAACAUAGUAUUAGAGCCUUAUUAGGUGAGAGGUUAUAUGUUCAAGCCUCACUGCAUGAUUCUUUCCCUAAUUUGUUACACCCACAAGUAAGCCCAAAAGCAGCUGAUUUUGAUUGUUUCCCUAAGGGCUUGUGUGUCUGUCCAUGUGCACAUAUGGGGCUACACAUGAGGGACAUGAUAUCAGAGCCUCAUUUUGUGUGGGUCUGUGGCCGCACAUGAGGGAUAUGAUAUUGGAGCCUUAUUUCAGGAGGUCAUGUGUUCAAGCCUCACCCCAUGUUUAUUUCCCAUAUUUAUUGAGCCCACAUGUAAGCCCAAAAAGGGCUGAUUGUGAUUAUUUGCCUAUGAACCUGUGUGUCUCUCCACUUGCUGGCUGCAUGUGAGGGAGGGUGUUAAAAAGUAUAAUAUAUAUUGUGGACCAAAAUCCUACAAGCUUAAGCUUUUAGAAAAAUUGGUUAUCCAACAACUAUGAAUAAUAACAAAGGAAGUUUCAUGUGUAGCACAUCUUUGAAGAAGGCAUGUGAUAUGAUUGACAUCUUCAUAGACUUUGUAUCUUAUAGCUUCAGCUAUAUAGCUUGCUUAAUUCCUUAUUUGUCAAAAUAUGAGGAACAACUUAGAAACCUAAAUACAGCUUGCUUAGUUUUAAUGGUCUAAUUAAAUUUUAAUGCCUAAAAUGGAAAUUUAAAUUCCUUAUUUCUCAAUUGAUACAUAUGUUUGUUUUUGAUAAAAAAAAAAAAACAUGGCAUAUUAAACAUAUACUAUUUUGUGUUGUGUAAACAAAUACUUUGAAACAGAUUUUUCUGCAAUGCCAAAAGGUAGGUUUCUCUCAGUACUCAUGAUUUUACUUGGUUUGUCACAGCUACAAGGUUGAUCAGAAAAACACAUUUGAGUGAAAUAGAUAGAUUUGUUGGAUUGCAAAAAAUGAAUGCUUGACAUUCUAGCUACUUGUUAUUAAAUUGUUUGUUAAUGCUUGGCAUUUUUUUUGUGGAAAUGGCAAUAGCUUGAAGGGAUAAUGAGCUUAGUUUCAUGAGUAGAAGAGAAAAUGAAUCCCGAGAGUGACCUUUACUGAAUUCACACUUCAGCUGAUAUCCUGAAAUUUGUUGACUAAUCCAAAAUGCAGGGUUUUGAUCUUUUUGAACUUUUUGAUUCAUUUGUUAAUUCUUUUUAUUGCAUCAUAUCAUUUGAAUCUAUCAAUUUUAGUUAAAGAGGAAAAAAAAAGGUAUAAGCAGAUUGACCAUUAUCAUUUCUUGACUUUAGUGGCUGGCAAUCUUAUCAAAACUAUUAGAAGUAUGCUUUAUUUCCCUUUUGCACCACAAAUCCUGAAUUGUUAACAUCUUUCUUUAGCACUUUUUUCCUGUAAUGGUUCGAUAAGAAAAGUAUUUGGUAAGAGUAUAUAUAAAAUUAUUUAUUGUCAAUGCUUUAACUUGUAUCGCUUUUUAGAUGCAUAUUUGGUAUCAAAAGGUUGUCUUUAUGAUCAUUCUUCAAAGUAACUAAGGCAUUUCGAUUUAUUGAUGAAGCUUUCAGCAAUUUGCGAGACAAUGUUCCAUUAUCAGGACAAAAUCCCAUCUAUUGAUUAUGUGGUUAAUGUUUCAUCAAAUAUGGAGGUAAUUCGAAUAAUUGCUUUUUUUUUCAUCUUGUUUCACUGAUUAACUUCAACUUCUGGUGAUUCUCUCUAUUAAUACUGGAGCCAAGAUGGCCAUCCAAAUUAUUUUAUAUAAGGAGUGUCAUUGGCUCUCUAGCACCAAUGAGGUCAGCAAAUAAUUUUAUUCUUAAGCCAGUCAUCAGUAAACAUCUCAAAAUAUGUCAACUUGGUAAAUAGGUAAGAAAGCGUCAAAGUACCACUAAACAACCCCACCUCAACGAAUUUUCAUAAAGUGUCAUUGGUAAAUUGGAAGUGAUGAUUGGUGGAACUCUUGGUCUAACUUAUAAAGAGCUCAUCCACCAAAUCUUUGUCUCACUCCCAUCAUAAGUCAACUUAAUGCUUUUCCCAAAAUAUAGUUCAAAUUAUGGAGACAAAAGAUCAUCAGCUUUGCCCAAUUCCUCUGAAUCUGGAGGAAAAUCCUUUUGCUAUUCCUAGAAUAGAAAAGCAACAGAGCAUAUACACCAUCUAUUUUAAUGUUGUCAAACUUCAAACUGUACCUCGUGAUAGUUGAAAACUUCCAAUUGAUGCUAUCCUAGUCUUUCCCCAUGUCCCUUUCUGCGUAAAUCAUGCAAAAUACCACUGAUUGGUCUAUCUGGUAAAAGAAAUACCAUACUGAGAAGGCUUUUAGUAAAACUUAAAUACUUGUGACUUAAAACGACUUAGUUAAAUUAUGUUUAAGUUAUUAAGUUAUUUUUAAUUUUAAGUUACCUUAUCAAACAUACUUAAUAUGCUUAGUAAGUUAAAUUAAGUGGUUAAGUCAUAUUAAGUCAAUAAGUUGAUUUAUUUAUUUGUUUUAAUAGGCCACAAUAAGUUGAUUUAUUAAACACUCUCUAAGCCCUAUACUAAAGAAUCUAUGUGGAUGAAGGCACAAUCAAGAAUCCCUUCUUGGAGAAAGGUGCUCUUAGAUUCUAAGAUUGAAAAAGGGUGGAAUCCCUUCAUGUCUCUCUGUUCUUAUGCUUAUAAGGACACCGCUUCCUUGUUACCUAUUGUUGAAUAUAAUGUAUUUAUAGUGUACAAUCUUUCCUUUUUAAGAUAGGUCACAUGUAUGGUAGUUAGUUCUCCUAGCCUUGUAUAUAUAUUUCUCAAUUGUAAGUAGUUAAUCAUAUGAAUGAGAAUCAAGGUUUUCUCUCUUUCUCUUUCUCUCUCUCUCUUUCAACAUGGUAUUAGAGCUAAGGGAGAAAACCUAAUUCUUUCCAGUUUCCCCGUGUCAUCGAUUUCGGGAAACCUUCCAGUGACCGUGUUUCAUUCCGGUCAUCUUCCCCAUCUCCUAAAACUUUCCGGUCAGUCGGAUCAUCAUCAGAAAACACUCACCGUCGGCAACUUUUUCGGCGAAUUUUUCCGACAACUUUCCGGCGACGUCUUUUUCCGACACCGACCAUACCGUAAGGAGCACCUGGAGGAGAUCUUCAACUUUUUCCAAAUCACUGUAACCAAAAACUCGGUCACACGCGGUUUUCCGGCCAGCGACUGAAUCUCACGCAUCGUCGCGUGAGGGCGCGUGAGGCACUUUCCGACGACGCGCUUCCUCCUCCAGCCUCGCCUGACGCCAACUAGCCACCCUUCAUCCCUGGUUUUGACAUCUAAGCCCUGCACGUACCUCUUUUGGGGUUCUUUUGCCUCCGCCGACCCUCCAAACAGUUUUUCCGGUGACCUCCAACUAUUUUUUCUCCACCCUAAUCCCUGUACAUGCCUUGGGAAGUGUUCUUCUACUUUUCUGGUGGUGCCAUGGUUGUUUUUCUUUACUAUUUGGUCUCUCACACCGGCAAUUCCUCGGUUUUUCCUUCUUCAACCGUGAUCUGAAACCGUAUUAAGGCUCUCUUUGAUCCAAAUAUACUUCAUUCUCCAGAUAAGUAGAUACGGCUACUAAAACUUCCAUUUUUUCCUCUGUUAUAUAUGGAUUUCCUAUGAUUACUUCGAAAAAAUUGGUUGGCAGUGAAAAUUAUCUUUCCUGGUCUGCCUCUGUUGGACUUUGGUUUAUGGGUCAAGGAUAUGAGGAUCACCUGGUUACACAGGAGGCAGAUAUCCCUGAGGUUGACCGCAUACAGUGGAGGAAGAUGGAUGCACAGUUAUGUAGUGUAUUAUGGCAAUCGGUUGAUCCCAAGAUUCUUCUUCAUCUUCGGGCCUACAAAACUUGUUUUAAAUUUUGGACUCAGGUUAAAGGAUUAUACACGAAUGAUAUCCAACGUCUUUGUGAGGUGGCUUCUGCUAUUGUCUAUAUCAACCAACAGGACUUGGAUCUAUCUACUUAUAUCUCUCUUAAGGAGGAGUUCUUGAUUGUGAGGCCUCUUACUGCUGAUAUUGGGGCUCAACAAAUACAACUUGACAAGUUCUUCAUGGUCCUUACUCUUAUUGGCCUCCGUCCGGAUCUUGAGCCUGUUCGCGAUUAGAUUCUUGGUAGUUCAUCAGUUCCGUCAUUGGAUGAUGUGUUUGCUCGCCUCCUCCGUAUUUCGUCCACUCAGACUUUGCCAUCUGAUAGCACUUCAGAUUCUUCUAUGUUAGUUUCUCAAACUACCUCUUGAGAAGGACGCAGUGGUAACAGAGGUAGAGGUCAAUGUCCUCAUUGCACCUAUUGCAAUAAACUUGGCCACACUCGCGAUCGUUGCUAUCAGUUACAUGGACGGCCUCCCCGCACUGCCCACGUGGCCCAGUCAUCUGAUUCUCAGCUGCCUUAACCUCCGAGCUCCUCCACAUCUCAGGCUUUUGUUGCCUCUGUUGCCCAGCCUGGUAAUACCUCUGCAUGCCUUACCCACACAUCUUCUCUUGGACCUUGGAUUCUAGAUUCUGGAGCUUCUGAUCACAUAUCUAGUAAUAAGGAUCUUUUCUCCUCUAUUACUACUACAUUUGCUUUACCUACUGUUACCUUAGCUAAUGGUUCUCAAACUGUGGCUAAAGGUAUUGGUUUGACCCUUCUUCUGCCUUUGCUACCUCUCACUUCUGUCCUUUAUACUCCUAAAUGUCCUUUUAAUCUUAUUUCCAUCAGCAAAAUCACUCGUACUCUUAAUUGCUCUAUUACUUUUUCUGAUAAAUUUGUGACCUUGCAGGACUGGAGUACGGGGAAGACGAUUGGCAUAGGACGUGAGUCUCAAGGCCUCUAUCACCUCACCUCGGAUUCAUCUCCUGCAGUUUGCAUUUCCACUGAUGCUCCUCUCCUCAUUCACAGUCGUCUGGGCCACCUUAGUCUCUCCAAGUUCCAGAAAAUGGUCUCUCGUUUUUCAACUUUGUCGUCUCUUGCGUGUGAGUCAUGUCAGCUUGGGAAACAUACUCGUGUCUCGUUCCCAAAGCGUUUGAAUAAUCGGGCAAAGUCUCCUUUUGAACUUGUCCACACUGAUGUUUGGGGUCUUUGUCGGACUGCGUCUACUUUAGGAUUUCAGUAUUUUGUCACUUUCAUUGAUGACUAUUCUCGAUGUACUUGAUUAUUUUUAAUGAAAAAUCGAGCUGAGUUAUUCUCUAUUUUCCAAAAAUUUUAUGCUGAAAUCCAGACCCAGUUCAAUAUUUCUAUUCGUGUGUUACGUAGUGACAAUGCCAGGGAAUAUUUUUCAGCCCCAUUUACUUCGUUUAUGUCUAAUCAUGGGAUUAUUCAUCAGUCUUCUUGUGCUCAUACUCCUCAACAAAAUGGGGUAGCUAAAUGCAAGAAUCGACAUCUUGUUGAGACAACUCGUACUAUCCUCCUCCAUAGUCAUGUUCCUUUUCGUUUUUGGGGGGACGCUGUUCUUACAGUUUGUUAUUUGAUUAAUCGUAUGCCCUCGUAUGUCUUACACGAUCAGAUUCCUCAGUCCCUUCUCUUCCCUGACCAACCACUUUAUUUCCUUCCUCCUCGUGUCUUUGGUUGUACUUGCUUUGUUCAUAUUCUCACUCCUGGACAGGACAAGCUUUCCGCCAAAGCCAUGAAGUGCCUCUUUUUGGGAUAUUCCAGACUUCAGAAGGGUUAUCGUUGUUAUUCCCUUGAGACUCAUCGAUACUUUAUCUCCGCUGAUGUCACCUUCUUUGAGGACUCACCAUUCUUUUCCACUACUUCUGAGUCUCUUCCUGUUUCUGAAGUCUUGCCUCUUCCCAUUGUCUCCCCACCUAAUGCUGUGCCUCCUCGACCACUUCAGGUUUAUCAACGUCGUCCUCGUGUCGCUGCUCCUCUCCCUUUUGUUGAGGCACCUGCUGACUCACUUCCUAUCCUUUCGACUUCUCCUUCCCUGGCUUUGCCUUCUCCUGAUGACUUACCCAUUGCUAUUCAGAAAGGUACUCGCUCUACUCGUAAUCCUCAUCCUAUUUACAAUUUUUUGAGUUACCAUCGAUUAUCUUCACCCUAUUAUGCUUUUGUUUCUGUUAUAUCCUCUGUUUCUCUUCCAAAGAGCACCCAUGAGGCUCUUUCCCAUCCAGGUUGGCAACAGGUAAUGGUGGAUGAAAUGACUGCUCUGCACUCUAAUGGCACUUGGGAUCUUGUUGUUUUACCCUCUGGUAAAUCUACAGUUGGCUGUCGUUGGGUCUACGUAGUUAAGGUUGGCCUUGAUGGUCAGGUUGAUCGCCUUAUGACCCGUUUAGUUGCUAAAGGCUAUACUCAGGUUUAUGGUUCUGAUUAUGGUGACACAUUCUCCCCUGUUGCCAAGAUUUCUUCUGUCCGUCUGCUUCUCUCCAUGACUGCUAUGUGUUCUUGGCCUCUUUAUUAAUUGGAUAUUAAAAAUGCCUUCCUUCAUGGUGAUCUUGCCAAAGAAGUUUAUAUGGAGCAACCUCCUGGUUUUGUUGCUCAGGGGGAGUCUGGUUUAGUGUGCAAGUUACGCCGUUCUCUAUAUGGCUUGAAACAAUCUCCUCGAGUAUGGUUUGACCGUUUUAGUUUUGUUGUUCAAGAGUUUGGUAUGCUUCGCAGUACAACAAACCAUUCAAUUUUCUAUUAUCAUAACUCCUUGGGGCAGUGUAUUUAUCUGGUUGUUUAUGUGGACGACAUCGUCAUUACAGGCAGUGAUCAGGAUGGUAUUCAGAAAUUAAAACAACAUCUUUGUACCCACUUUUAGACUAAAGACUUGGGAAAACUCAAGUAUUUCUUGAGAAUUGAGAUAACUCAAUCCAGUUUCGGUGUGGUCCUUUCCCAAAGGAAAUAUGCUUUAGACAUCCUGGAAGAAACCGGUAUGUUAGACUGUAAACUGGUAGACACACCUAUGGAUCUGAAUGUCAAACUUGUACUAGGACAGGGGGAGCCUUUAGGAGACCUUGGGAGAUAUCGACGGCUCGUAGGUAAAUUGAACUACCUCACCAUUACUCGUCUAGACAUUUCUUUUCCUGUGAGUGUUGUUAGUCAAUUCCUACAGUCACCAUGUGAUAGCCAUUGGGAUGCUGUAAUCUGCAUUCUUCGAUAUAUCAAAAGCACACCAGACCAAGGUGUGUUGUACAAGAAUAGAGGUCAUACUCAAGUUAUUGGUUACACAGAUUCAGAUUGGGUCGACUCACCCACAGAUAGAUGUUCCACUUCAGGGUACUGUGUUUUUAUUGGAGGUAAUCUAAUAUCUUGGAAGAGUAAAAAACAAGAUGUAGUGGCCAGAUCUAGCGCUGAAGCCAAGUAUCGAGCUAUGACUCUGGCAACAUGUGAACUCAUAUGGUUGAGACAUCUUCUUUGAGAGUUGAGAUUUGGAAAGGAUAAACAGAUGAAACUCAUCUGUGAUAACCAGGCCGCAUUACAUAUUGCAUCUAAUCCAGUCUUUCAUGAAAGGACCAAGCAUAUUGAAGUUGACUGUCACUUCAUUAGAGAUCGCAUUAGGAUGUGUUGCUACAAAUUUUGUUAAUUCAAAUGAUCAACUAGCAGACAUCUUCACUAAAUCUCUCAGAGGUCUUAGGAUUAAAUACAUUUGUAACAAGCUUGGUGCAUAUGACGUAUAUGCUCCAGCCUCCAGCUUGAGGGGGAGUGUUGAAUAUAAUGUAUUUAUAGUGUACAAUCUUUCCUUUUUAAGAUAGGUCACAUGUAUGGUAGUUAGUUCUCCUAGCCUUGUAUAUAUAUUUCUCAAUUGUAAGUAGUUAAUCAUAUGAAUGAGAAUCAAGGUUUUCUCUCUCUCUCUCUCUCUUUCAACACCUAUUAACAGUCUUGCAUGCUAAGAAAUGGAGGAUCUUUAAUACGAUAAUAAGCUUCCUUUUAUUGUCAUGGAUUGGAGUAAUGCAGUUUGAAAAUUUUAAUAUAAGUGGUGUCAUCUCUCUUGAAAGUUAUUUUGAAGGACAAGCAGAUUUCAUAAUAAUUAUGGAAUGCUCUAAUAUGGCCUCCAAAUUUAAAGAAUAGGAUUUGGGGAAUUAGUUUCACGGGCUUAGCUUGUGGGGGUUUUACUGGUUUGAGGAGUCUGCCCCUUAGUAUUUUGGAUUUUGUCUGAUACCACUUUCAGUGGUCUUUAUGUUUAUUUGGCCAAUUAACCAGGAAUGACAAAUUUGAAAUUGUUUUAAAUUUCUCAGAGACAUUCUCUGUAUAAUCUUUCUGAAACUGUUUACUUUUUUUAGAUUUCUCAAAAAUUUUAACCUCAAGUUUCCCUUUUAAUGAUAUCUGAAUUUCUCUGCUAGUAAAUGAGGAAAUUGGAGCUAAUUGUCAUUACUUCUUUGAUACUGUGAACUUGUUGAGAAUAAAAUGUUAAUAAUUCUUUGCCACUCAAAUAUUUUCAGUUAUAUCCCCCAAAAGAUUGGCUGGUGGGGUCAUCAUUGCCUUCUAAGUUCAGUCCAGAUGUUAUUCAGAAGGUACUAGAUGAGCUUGCUCCAAAUAACGUCAGGUAAAUCUUUUAGUGAGCCUAUUGUUUUUCUUUACUUUCCUUUUUUCUUUUCUCUUUUCCUUUUGUUGUGCCUUGUAUAGAUAGCCCCAGUACAUAGGUUGCACCCUCCCUGUUAACUGGCAUCUUUUUAAUGUAUAUCUAGUUUGCCUAUAAAUAAAAGAGAAACUAUGAAUUAUUGCAUCUGAAGAUUAAAGACAUCUGCAUGUGGCAUUAGGGUUUUUGUAUGGUGCUCAAAGCAGCCAUUUUGAAUGUAAAGACAUCCACAUGCAUUCUUAAAUCAAUACAAUGUGCUGAAACAUUUGUCUCAAAUUUGUAUUAUAUCAUCACUGAUUUAUUGUUUUUUUUUCAUGUAAGUAAUAAGGUUUUGUUGAUACAAGAAGAAAGGCUUACUGAAGGAGGGCAGGAUAUUCUUCAGUGUAGGGUGUUGUGGGAGGUGGUGUGCUCAGGGUUUGUUUAUGGGGUUGUGGUGUUGGAGUUUGGACAUAGUGGUCACCCUCCAAGCUUGAAGCACAUCCAACUAGACCAAAAAAAAAAAGAUCCUCUUUAUAAUCACAAAAUAAUCAAGAAACUUUAAAAUGAUGGCUUUUUAAUUUCCUCCCCCUAUGUAGGUGGGAGGCUGGAUGCUCAGGGCUUGUUUUUUGGGGUGGUGGUGUUGGGGUUUGGACAUAACAGUUACCCUUAAGGACUUCAAGGUUGAAUCUGGUCCAUUUAGACAAAAAUAGUCCACUUCAUAAUCACAAAAUUAUAAAAGAUUUUGAACAUGUUCGUUGAUUUGCCAACCUCCCCUCUAUAUGGUUUAUUGUUGUAUUCCUUGAAUUAGGUAGUAUCUUUGAUUUGUUUGUCAAUCUUAAUCCAUUGUCACAGCAGUUUUAAUUGAUUAUUGUGGAAUCGUAGUUCGUGACAAAGUUCCUUGUUUUUUAUGGAUCUCUAGUCACUGAUUUAAUUUUGUAUGAGCUUAUAAAAAAAAAAUGCAGUAAAAAUGUACUGAAAUAUUAAUUAUGUGUCAGAAACUCACUUUCCUAUGAUGCACUAAGUUCCCCCCCUCCCCCCCUCUUUUAAUAGAGAUCCUGUAAUGCAUUAAGUUUUUCCUCAGUAUAAAAAUUUUUUACACGUCUUUUUAAAAUUUGGAUUCUUUUUAAUAGCAUUGGCUGAAAAUAUUGAAUACCCUGAUUAUGAUGGUUUACCUUUCAUUUUUACUGCUAAGCUUCUCUGAGGUGUUAAUUAUAUCUGUAUCUGUUCUAUCUUAACAUUUUAGCACAGUAUAUAUUAAGAUUUAAUCUUCUCUGAGGAUUCUGUUUGAAGGCUUCAGAAAAUCAAGUUGCUGCGUUCAUAGUCCAUUCUUUUUGUCUUUUCUAUGGUUGCAUUAAGAUAAGCUCGUUUUAUCAUAUGGUAAAUGAAAAGACAGAAUCCACUCAUCUAUAACUAUUUAGAGAAGUGUCAAGCAGUGAAGAUUGGCAGAGAAAUCUGAUUGCAUUCACUCUAAAAGAAUAGCUAAUGUAAUAUGGAAACUUGUGCACUGCAAUAAAAAUGUUGCACAGCUAUGUAAUUCAUAUUUUACUUUGAAUUGGGCAUGUAUUUUAUCUCAUUGAUGGACUUGUAUUCUUGCUCCCAAUUAUAGAAAUAGUCACUACAUCAAUGUAAAUUUUUAUCAGUUUGUUUUAGCACUUUAAGGUUCCAGAACUGAUUGGCCACUUUCCUACAAGCUAUCAUUAAUUAAAAGCAAAAAUUGUUUUAACUAAAAGGGUGAGAUCAGUAAGCAUAACCAUUACUUGCUGAGUGCUGUGUUCAAGAUUCAUUCCUUCUGGUUAUUGCCCUGUAGUCUUCUUCAUGCAUAUUCAGCUGCCUACUGAAUCUAUGAAAUGAGAUAAUGACAUGCUUGAGUCAUGGUAGUUUUCAUGAUAAACCCUCUGGUCAACAGAAUCUUUUGGGAGUCAAAGAAUUUUGAAGGCCACACUGACAUGGUUGAGCCAUGGUAUGGAACUGCAUUUUCUAUUGAGAAGAUCACUGUUUCCAUGAUUCAGGUUUGCUGUUAUGUUCUUUGUAAUAUACUUCAUAAUAUGUAGUGAUUUACAACUUGGAACCUAAUGUCAUACAGUUUUAUGACAUUCUGUUCCCUGCCAUAUUCCUCUUUCUGCUAAAAGAAUUAAUUGGGAAAAAAAUGUUGAUAAGCUAAACUUUCUGUAUUUGUUUGCAGCAAUGGAUGCUAGCAGCCCCUACUGAGCAUCUGCAUCUACCAGAUCCCAAUGAUUUUAUCCCUACUGAUUUGUCACUUAAGAAUGUGCAAGAGAAGGUAUGGUAGAUAUGAUAAGCUAACCUAAUGUGAUUAUCUUUUUCCAAAAGGUUUACACUUUGGUGUGGCUGUUCUGGAACAGGCUAAAUUUCCAGUUCUCUUAAGAAAGUCAUCAUAUUCAACCUUAUGGUAUAAGCCCGAUACAAUGUUCUCCACUCCAAAGGCAUAUGUGAAGAUAGAUUUCAACUGCCCCUUUGCUAGUAGCUCCCCUGAAGCAGACGUCCUAACUGAUAUCUUUACACGGUUGUUAAUGGAUUACCUGAAUGAAGAUGGUAGGCUGUACAGAAUGAGUGGAAAGUUGCCCUUCUCUUUUAUGAAAAUUGUACAUUAGUUUUUAUUUGUCUGAGGGACAGUACAACAUUGAAAUGUUUUUGCGUUAUAUAAUUUAUGGUUUAUCGAUGUUUAUAUUGAUCUUUUCUCCCUAUAAUUCCUGCUGUAUUUAUUUGAAUUUAUUUACAUCAGAUUGGUGAAGUUAUUUUCUUGAAAAAGAGCUUACUAUAUUCCAUUUUAUUUUUUAUCUAUCUUUCAGCUUACUAUGCUGAAGUUGCCGGUCUUUAUUAUUGCUUAAGCAACACAGAUAGUGGUUUUCAGGUAAGUUAUCUUUUUUACUAUUUUAAUUUUUACAAAUUAUGUUUUAUUUUGUUUUACAUUCAUCCGACUUUCAAAAUUAAUAGUCAAUUCACAUGUUCAAGCUGAUUUGGUUUUGGUAAUGGUGAUUGGUGAGUUUGGGAUGGUGAAAUGAGCCCAAACCUAUCCUGAACGACUCCAACCCAUUUCCUUACCCACACUCCAAAUCUAAUUCUAUGCAUCCUUCAGAGUGGGUUCGCCAAUUAAAAUUCUAUGUGAUAUUCAUUAUGGUCACAUGCAAAUUCUUGAUUUAAAACUUAUUAGAGGAAAAGCUUUAAACCAAGGGAAGAUUUCCAGUUCUGAAUUCUACACAAAUUUUGUUGGGGCUUCCAUUGCAAAUCUGAUUAUGGUAAAUCUCAAAAUCGCCCCUGUAAAGGUGGGGUGGGCCAGGUUACACAGUGAAUAAUCCCGAUUCCAACCUUGUGUGCACUGACCUUCAACCUUUGUGGAUAAAUCUUGCAUCCUGUUGAUAUUUCUCCUUGAACUAACCUUGCUGGAAUUAGUCUCUAGCGGCAUUUUUAAUUCAAGGAAGUUUGUUUGCACAGCUUCACUAAAAGUUUACUUCCAGAGUCUUGGUAUCUUUCCUAGAAGACAUUCUAAAAGGCUUUGCUGAAUUUUAUUGAACUCAAUUGCCAAAAAAUGCAGAUGCUGUUGUUAGGAAAGGGUAUCUUAAUUCAAAAGGACUUUUGGAUGAUUGAUAUGGUGACAAAAUAUAAUAUCAUUAUGAUUGUGCUGUAUCCUGUCAUUGUAGACUGGAUUGCGUUUGCACUGAUCCUUGCUUACUUGUCAAAAUAAAAGUUCAGAAGAUUUUAAACAUGUCCUAUCCUGAUUUGUGGAAUAAAAUACUGCACUGCAGCCCCAUGAUAGUUUAGUGUAACUCCAAAUUUUUUCUAAUUGUUUAAAUAUUUCAAUUACUUCAAGUUUCCAUUGCCUUUAUUCAUGAAAUUCAUAUUUAUCAAAGAUGGUCAUAGUGAAGAGAAGAUGGGCAUGUUUGGUUGCUGUUUUUGAAAACUGUUCUGGAAAACAAUUUUUGAGAACAGUUUUUAAGAACAGUUUUUGGUGUUUUUUAAAAAAAAAUUGUGUUUGGGAACUGAAUUUUGAAAAACAGUUUUUGUUCUCAAAAACAAAAAAACAUGUUUGGUUGAGUUAAUAAAUAAAAAAAUUUAGAACAAAUAAAACAAAAAACAUGUUUGAAAGAUUUUUUUUUUCUUUUCUAAUUAAUAAAAUAUUUUCUUCAAGUAAUUUUAUAUUAUAAAUUUAUAAAUAAUUUUUAGAUAUAUAGUUCAUUUAAAUUAAAAAAUUUAUUUAUUUUAUUAAUUUAAAAAUAAAAAUAUUUUUUAUAUUUUUUUAAAAUAAAUCAAACAUAAUAAAAUUAUUUUUAUUAAUAUUUUUUUAUUUAAUCUUUAACUUUAUUAAAAAUUAUAGAAAAUCCAAGCAAAAACCCUGCAACCCCUGUUUGAUUCCCAAGAAAAUCCAUCCCCCAUUCGAUUUCCGGGAAAAUUCAUCCUCGUUUGAUUUCCGAGAAAAUCCAAGCAAAAACCCUGCAACCCCCGUUUGAUUCCCAAGAAAACCCAUCCCCCAUUCGAUUUCCGGGAAAAUUCAUCCUCGUUUGAUUUCCGAGAAAAUCCAAGCAAAAACCCCAAGGAAAACCAAAAAUCCCUGCGUUUUCUGGAUCCGUUUUAGGGGUCUCUUUGCUAUUGUGCGAUUGGAUUUAAAUUUCACGAACCUUGAAUCAAAACUGAGAAACAAGAAGAGGCGAGCCACUGUGCUGGAGAAGAGAUGAAAACGGGAAGAAAAAAAAAACACGGGAAACAGAUUGUUUUUUUUGGUUUAAUUUUGUUCUGUGAACAGUAAAAAAACGGGGAAAACAAGAUUUUGUUGUUCUCUAAACAGUGUCAUUUUGAGAACACGGGAAACAACAAAAACAAAAAUCACUCUCUCAACCAAACGAGUUUUUGGUGUUUUUUGUUUUCAAGAACAGAAAACAGUUCUUGAAAACACUAAACAAACAGGCCCGAUACCUCCUUUUAGGAAAAUAAGAAGCAUAACAGGGAACUUGAAAAAGAAAAUUGAGAAAUUACCAAAGAAACUUCGUCUAGUUUCAAAUAUUUGUAUUGCUUCAAAUAUUGCCUUAUAUAGAAUUAUAUCUUGGUAGGUCUUUUCUUUUCCCUUGAGUGCCUUGUGAAUCAUCCUAAAGGACCUUCUAUAUUUCUAAUUUGCAAUGCCUUUAAAAAAUGAUAUAUGGAAGAAUUGUCACUCAAUUGUUUUCUAUAUUCAAUUAUCAGAUGUGCUACUUUCUCUCUUUCUCUCAUUCAUCCACAGACACUCUUACAUGCACACGCUAAGAUCCAUCAAUUCUUAUAUGCAUUGAUAUUUUAAAUUCUGUUUUUCUUUUUUAGGUGGCUAUGGCUGGGUAUAAUCACAAAUUGAGGAUCUUACUUGAAACAGUUGUUAAAAAAAUCGCAAACUUUAAAGUGAAGCCUGAUAGAUUUCUUGUGAUCAAGGUAAUGAUCAACACCUCUUAUGCCACUGGAAAGGUCACAACUUAUGUAUUUUCAUUUUUCUGAUGGUUCUUCUCAGAUACCAUUUUUUUUCCCCAAGUGAAUCACACCAACAGCAUUAGGACUGUAAUUGAUAUAUCAUUUAUACAUUUUUGCGGUGAUUUGCUGUGUUUUAUUGUUCCAGAGGCUUUGUUACAUUUUUACAGUGAUUUGCUGUGUUUUACUGUUCCAGAGGCUUUGUUACAUUUUUACAGUGAUUUCCUCCUCUCCUCUGUAUAUCCCUUCUAAGCCACACAUACAUAUACACCUCCAAUGCAUUGGCCUCCCUAUUUAGUAAAUGAUUAUAAUUAAUCCUAUCAAAAGCAGUUGUGUGUAAUUCUUUGUCCAUCUAGAUGGCAAUGGUUUUUCCUCCUUUCUUUCUUUUUCUUAUAAUUAUAGUCUUGUUGAUACACAACCCAGACUGAACAAUUGGCACCUUUACUGCUAGGCAAGAUGGAUGCUUGUUAUAUAAAUGUACCUUAUACCCAAACACAUCCAAAAACUCUUAUUGAGCAUAAGAAAAAACUUUUGGCUUUUCAAAAGCCACAAUAGAAACGAGGCCUUGAUUAAUUUACUAUAAUUUUUUCUUGAUAUUGAUCAUUCCCUAAUUAUUAUUUUUUAAAUUUGAAGUCGAAAUUUUUUGUACCUUUAAUGCAUUAAAAUAACUCAUUGAGUUUUUGUCUCUUUUUCAUCAGUCAUAGGUGCAAGAGAAACAAAAUGAUCACUAAUAUUAUGUAUUACAAUUUCCAAUGAUGUAAUCCUGCUAACCAUGAACUUCAAGGCUUACCUUCCAGAUAGGUGUAUUUUGCAAUUCAAGUUAUUGAUGACCAAAAUUUGGGUUUGUGAGACAGACCUAUCUUCUUGGCUUCCCAUCUUAGAAUGAGAGGCAAUGAGAUAUUCUAGCUUUAAACUAAUUGAACUGACGCUUAAUGAAACUUAUCUGCACUUAGAUAUUGCCUCAUGAAUAUCAAGUGAGACUGACAUUGGCUCUAUAUUGAAGUACAAUGAUAUCCAGGGAUUCUCCUCUCAUCCCCACAAAUUUGGCGUAAAUUCUUCCUCUGUCUUAUCUUAGGCAUUUGAAAAGUCAACAGGCAUGUGGAGAUGACAUGCUGAAUGAAUGAGACACCAUUUUUAUUUUCUUCUGAUUUUCUUUCUUCUGUUUUGUACAAACCACCAUCAUAGAAAUCCUGGCUUAGAAUGGUUGCAUACCUGAAGAGCCAGAGGUAGCCGGUUGUCAUCUUCAAUCAACAAAUUCCUGCAUUAAUUAUUAUUAUUAAAAAGACAAAGGUGACAGAUUGACAUGUCCCCUUAUGGAUGAUAUUUCUUUUCGGAAUUCUAGGAAAAGUUUUACCUGUAAAUCCAUAUCUCAUGAAGGUUAGCUUCCAAGGCUAGGUCUAAAUUAUGCACUCAUAUAUGCUUGUACCUUUUUGGGGGACUGUACUUUAUUUCAUUAUUGAUGCUUGUGGUUUUCUUUUCAUAAAAAAAUAAUAUUUUGAAAUACCAUAAAAUAUCUCAGGAGCUGUCUUUUUGAAAACAUGGUAAUUAUUGUUCUAUGCAUUUUUUUAUUAACAGGAACUGGUAACAAAGGGGUAUCAAAACGUGAAGUUUCAACAGCCAUAUCAGCAAGCUAUGUGCUAUCGCUCACUAAUUCUACAUGAUAACACAUGGCCCUGGAUGGAUGGACUUGAAGUUAUUCCUCAUCUUGAAGCUGAUGAUCUUGCUAAAUUUGUUCCCAUGUUGCUCUCAAGGGCAUUCUUGGAGUGUUACAUAGCAGGUUCUUCUAUUUCAGCGAUUUUUUUUAUUAUUGUUUUUAGAAGUCUGACAUUUUACCUUGAUUUUAUCAUCAACUAGCAAUUUCAUUUUUCAGGAAACAUUGAACCAAAAGAAGCAGAGGCAAUGAUCCAUCACAUUGAAGAUAUUUUCUACAGUGGUCCACGCCCUAUAUGCCAACCUCUAUUCCCAUCUCAGUAUUUGACAAAUCGAGUUAUUAAACUUGAUAGGGGCAUGAGUUACUUCUAUCCUGCUGAAGGCCUAAAUCCAAGUGAUGAGAAUUCUGCCUUAGUUCACUAUAUCCAGGUAAUUGCAUUAGUAAAGGAGGAAUGGUUCAUUACUUUUGGGCUACUUAGUUAUCUAUGCUGGACUCUUAUUUAACGUUUUGGAAUUCAAGAAAAGAUGAUAAUGACACUGUCUCACAUUAGUUAACUGAACUAUAACUUUAUUCUCUUGUGAUUUAUUCUAAUAUAUAUAUAUAUAAUCUAAAAGCAUCUCAUAAAAGAGAAAUGGAAAGUGAGAGGUCUUUUGCUGCCAUUUCAUCCCAAUAAAAUUUCAGAUCCUUGCUAAUUAUUUCUGGGAAAAUUAGUAGUAGCUAGAAGUUUGUGUGUUUCUUUGUCUUUAUCUGGUCCUUGCUCUUGCUAAGCUUGAGUUUUGAGGCAUUGAAUUGACAGAUUCUUGUUGUGGGUAAGAAAUUACUUCCGAAGAGUUUUUUGAUAGAUAUAGAAAAUGUGUUAUAGAUAAAAGUGGGUAAGACCCAAAAAAGGACGCAUGAAGACACAAAAACCAGCAAAUGCACCCUACAAAGAGCUUAACCAAUCCACAAAUUCCAACACCGACAAAGAGCCAUCCCCAAAUACAAUUUAACCCAAUCCCAAAAAAGGUUCAAGAAAUAAUUUUUAAUUGUUUGGUCUAAACUUUCGCAAUUUUCAAAGGCUCUCUAUUUCUUUCCCUCCACAUGGUCCAAAAAAACUCAUAACGGAGCAACCUUCUAAGCAUUUUUUUCUUUUUUUCCUUACAAAAGAAUCGUACCAGCUUAAGAGAAAUGCCCUAAUUGAAGAGUGCAUCACUCAUUGUACACCGAACAAAAUAAAAACCAACUGCCACAAAUUAUGGGAUUUUGUGCAAUGAAGGAGAACACAAUUACCCGUUUCUUCAUAUUCUUUGCACAUGUGACACCUAUUAGGGAUCCUCCAACUCCUCCUACUGAGCUAAUCUAGAGUCAAAAUCCUAGCCGAUGUGGCUUCCCAAGUAAAGAAGCUAAUUCUAACGGGGACCUAAGAAUUCGAAAUUAUAUCAUGAGGGAAAGACUCAACUCUCCUACUAGCCAAAGAAGAAUAGAAAGAUUUAAUUGAGAAAUUAUCAUUCUUUGGCCCCAACCACACCAUAGUAUCCUUAGAGGCCAACCUAAUGGAGUGGUCAUACAAUCUCCCAAAAAAUACAUCAACCUCCUCUAAUUCUUGUCAUGGAAUUGUCUAACAAACCUAGGGUCCUAGUUACCACCAUCCCAGACAUCAACCACCUAAGCAUAUUUUGCGGAGGUUAUAUAAUAAAGAGUUGGAAAUGAUUCCCUCAAAGGUGUGUCUCCACACCACUUGUCUAUCACGAACUUCACUCUAUUACCGAAUUUAACCUCGAGGACCUUAAUUGCAUUUUAGGUUUAACUUUAGUUGCACUCCGUCCUAACUUGCUUAGUUGCAUUUUGGGAAAUUUCUUAGUUACAUCUUAGUUCAUUACAUUUAAGUAUGCUUUAAGAUAGUUCAUCUAGAGGCAUUUUUGCUCAUUACAUUUAAAUAUAUUUUUAGUUAGUUCAUCUAGGUGCAUUUUAAAAUGGUUUAUUUAGAUGUAUUUGAGGAAUUUUUUUAGGUGUACUUUAGAAUAUUAUUUCAUAUCACUUUACAUGGCAUGUACAUUAGGGCUUGUUUGAGAAAACAAAGAAGACAUUAAGACAUGGAGAUUUUGGAUAUUGGGCAAGAGUUUUGUUUUUUUGGUAAGAAAGAGUAGAUUUUUUUAGAGAAGAGGACUCUCUUUGGAAGACAUUCACGACAUAUUGAUUUUUGAAGGAGGAAAGACUCUUAAGGUCACACACGGCUGCCACAUUUUCAAGGGAUAUAUGGAUUGAGAUUUUUUGGGAGAUUUAGAGAGAUUGAGAAAGAGUAGGAGAGCUUUCUCGUCAUAUGCUGAACAAGCUUCAAUAUUUUGAGCGUAAUUUUCGCUACAAAUAUCAAAAUAAGUUGAUUAUUGAAGCUAUGGAAAACUAAUAGAAAGAGCUACACACCAACUGUUGACAAUUUUUCCUAAAUCAAUCUUGUUCAGGUACAAGAUUCGCCUAAAGGAAAGGAUUGUGUCAUUGGGGGAGGAGAGCAUGGUUGCCACAAAAUUGAGAAAAAAGGUGGAGUCUUGGGAAAAAAGCUAAAGUCCUUAGAGGAAAAGUUGAAGUCUUGAAGAUCAAGAAGGCAAGACACGACGUAGAGAAAUAAGAAAGGAGUAAACUUGCAUUUUUUAAGGGGAGAUGUAUGUUCUUUAAUUUUCUUGUAUAUCUUGAUCAUGAUUAACUUUCCAUCUAUUUCUUUUUCUUCCAUCUUGCUUAGGUAUAGAAAUUCUCUUUAUUUGAGGUGGAUAAUGAAGGUCACUUUAAUUGUUGAUGAUAUAUUGAUGAAAAGUUGAUGAAUGAUUGAUUGAUCUCAUGUUGACUAACGUCUAUUAGAAUUGGAGUUAUGAUUGUUUUCUUUGGAGUUAUUCUAACUUGAUUGAGACCCUUUGAUCAUACAUAAUAUGUGGUUAAGAGAUUCCUUAUUUGUUUUUUUAUUGUCUUUGGUCUCAUUUUUUGUUGUUGGUUUUUAUUUGUGAUGUUUAGAUUGUUUACCUGCAUGUCACCUAAUCAUCUUCAUGCCAUACACUUUUCUAGGUUGUUUGUAUUUGAUAUUUUAUGUGUUUUAGUGUCUUUAAUAUUUUUUUUUUCUUUCUCAAACCUUUCCCAAAUAGAUCAAUCCUUUAACUUUUCUUAAAAAUUCAUCUUAAGUCAUUAGGGUAUAAAAAAAACAAUUAUCUUUUUUAAAGACAUGCAAUCAAUUUCAAUUAGUGUGCAUUUUUUCAUUGAUUUUCAAAUAAAUUUCGAUUUUGUGACACAUGAAUCCAAGUUCAUAGUAGGCUCAUCAAGGCAAAGAAUCAUUUUAUUUUUGUUUGGAACCAUGAACUUGGAUUCAUGUGUCACAAAAUCAAAAUUCAUUUGAAAGUCAAUGAACAAAUCCAUACUAAUUGAAAUUGAUUAUACGUCUUUUAAAAAAUAUGAUUCUUUUUUUUUUUAAACCCUAAUGACCUAAGAUGAUUUUUUAAGAAAAGUUGGAAGAUUAAUCUAUUUGGAAAAAGGUUUGAAAAAGUCAUUCUAAAGGUACUAAAACAUAUAAAAUAUCAAACACAAACAACCCCAGGGAACUGUAGGGUAUGAAGAUGAUUAAGUGGCAUACAGGUAAACAAUAUAAACAUCACAGACAAAAAACCAAAGCACAGACAAAAAACAGUAGUAGGAUUAUUAAUCAAAUCACCAAUGCCUCCUUCAUAGUUCUUUUGCCUAAGAAAAGCCAGACAAAGAAGAUCUCAGAUUUUAGACCUGCUAGCUUGAUCACUUGUCUCUAUAAGAUAAUAACCAAAAUCCUAUCAGGGUAAUUAAGAGGAGUACUACACAAAACUAUCCAUUAUACUCAAGGUGCUUUUGCUCAAGGGAGACAAAUUUUGGACGCAGUUCUUAUAGCUAAUGAGAUAGUGGAUGAGAAAAGGCGAUCAAGGGAGGAAGGAGUUGUCUUCAAAAUUGAUUUUGAAAAGGUUUAUGACCACGUGAAUUGGGAUUUUUUGGAUCACAUGUUGGAGAAGAAGGAAUUUAGUCCUAAAUGGAGGAAUUGGAUGAGAGGUUGUCUGCCUUUGGUCUCUUAUGCUAUUCUAGUGAAUGGAAAUGCUAAAGGGUGGGUCAAGGCAUCUAGAGGAUUAAGGCAAGGUGACCCUUCAUCCCCUUUUCUGUUUACUAUUGUCGUAGAUGUGUUGAGUAGGAUGAUGUUGAGAGCUGAAGAAAGAAGUUUGUUAGAGGGUUUCAGAGUAGGUAGGAAUAGAACAAGGGUGUCCCAUCUGCAAUUUGCAGACGAUACCAUCUUCUUUUCUAACUCUUGUGCGGAAGAACUACAAACUCUCAAGGGUUUAUUGUUGGUGUUUGGGCAAAUUUCUGGGCUUAAGGUCAAUCUUGUGGAUUAUGGGAGGGAAUCCAAUCACUUGUGGAUUAUGGGAUCCAGUGAUUGAGAGAAUCUCGAGGAGAUUAGACGGGUGGCAAAAGGCUUACUUAUCUUUCGGUGGUAGGAUAACUCUUAUCCACUCAUGCCUUUCCCACAUUCCUAGUUACUUUCUCUCCCUGUUUAAGAUUCCCGCUCUAGUGGUUGUAAAAAUUGAGAGAUUGCAAAGGGACUUCCUUUGGUCAAGGGUUGGGGAAGGUAAAAGAGAUCAUCUUGUUAGUUGGGAUGUAGUGUGUAAGCCGAGAGUAAAAAGGGGAUUGGGGAUUGGGGUUUGGGAAGAUUUCUUUAAGGAAUCUCGCUCUUUUAGGGAAGUGCUUGUGGAGGUAUCCUAGGGAGAGUACAACUAUGUGGCAUCGGGUCAUUCUAAGCAUUUAUGGGACACAUUCCAAUGGUUGGGAUGCCAACACUUUAGUCAGAUGGUCACAUCGUUGUCCUUGGAAGGCUAUUGCACAAGUCUAUCAGGAUUUUUCCAAGUAUACUUGGUUUGUGGUAGGAGAUGGGGAAAGAAUUUGCUCUUGAGAAGAUUUGUGGUGGGGGGACCAGCCUUUGAGAUCCCAAUAUCCAAGACUAUUAAGAGUAGUCACGGAUAAAAAUAUUUCUAUAUCUUCAAUUCUCGGUUUUGCUCGCCCUUUCUCUUGAAACUUUAAUUUUCGUCGUAAUCUUUCCGAUUCUGAGAUAGAAGAUCUAGAAUGUCUCAUGCGAUCUCUUGAUCGUAUGCAUUUAUCCAUUUCGGCUUCAGAUGCAAGAUCCUGGUCUUUAUCUUCGUCAGAAUUGUUUACAGUCAAGUCUUUCUUUUUAGCUUUGUCCCAAAUACUCGAUUUUUCUCCACGUUUCCCUACUAAGUUUGUAUGGAAUUCUCAAGUCCCUUUUAAAGUCAAGUCCUUUGUCUGGUUAGUGGCACACAAGAAGGUAAAUACUAAUGACUUGCUACAAUUGAGAAACCAUACAAAGCUCUUAGUCCUGACAUAUGUAAGUUGUGUAUGAGACAAGGAGAAUCAGCAGAUCAUCUUUUCAUACAUUGUUCUUUGAUGAUGGGGUUGUGGCAUAGAUUAUUUCAGUUAGCCAAGAUGGAUUGGGUUCCUCUGAGAAGCAUUUCCGACAUGAUGUCCAUCAAUUAUAAAUGUUUUGGCAUUUCCAAGAGAGGGAUAGUUUGUGGUAAAAUGCGUGCAUUGCUUUAAUUUGGGUUGUGUGGCGGGAAAGAAAUUUUAGGAUAUUUGAGGACAAAGCUAGGAACUUAGAGAAUCUAUGAGAUUCCAUUCACUUCCUUGCUUCUCUUUGGGCUUUUUGUUCUGUGGUUUUUAAGGGCAUUCCCCUUAACGUGUUACAACUAGAUUGGCUAGUAGUGUGUAGUUCUAGCGGGAUGGUCUAGCCAAGAGAGCUUGUUCGUAGUUUUCAUAGUAGUUUCAUGUUUUUUUAUUGUGUUGUUUAGUUUUAUCUUUGGUGGGAGGAUUCCUCAUCCUUCUUUUGUACUUCUUUUUUCUUUCAAUAUAUAUACUUGUUGUUUCCUAUCAAAAAAUAAAAAACCAACAACCAAAAAAUAAGACCAAAGACAAUAAUAAUUAAAUAGAGAAUCCCUUGGCCUGCUAUCAUGCAUAAUCAAAGGGUCUCAAUCAAGUGAGAAUAAUUCCAAAGAAAACAAUCCUAACCCUAAUUCUAAUCGGCAUUAAUUAAUAAGAGAUCACUCAACCAUUCAUCAAUAUGUCAUCAACAAUCAAAGUGGUCUUCAUUACCCCAAACAAAGAAAAAUCCUAUACCUAAGCAAGAUGGAAGAAAAAGAAACAGGUGGAGAGAUAAUCAUGAUCAAGAUAUGCAAGAAAAUUGAAGAACAUACCUCUCUUCUUGGAAAAAUGUAAGUUUACUCCUUUCUUGUUUCUCUAAUGACCUAAGAUAGCAACUUUUCUUCCCAAGAUGAUUUCUUUUUUCCUUCAAGAUCAAUUGGUGACAACCCUAAUCCCUCUCUCAAUGGCUAAACCGUGGAUGUCUAUUUCUUCCUCAAAAAAAGCUCUCAAAACUUCACCUUUUCUCAUCCAAAAAAUAGUGGCAGCUAUAUACCCUCUCUAAUAAUGUGAAUAUCUCUUGAUUUCUCUUAGAAAAAACAAACCAAAGUCGUCCUCAUCUGCUAUGGCAAGUGCUAGCCAUGUCUCUCUUCAACAUGUCGUGAUCCUCUCUUGAGACUAAUCCUAUACCUAAACUUUGCCACAAAAUUUUCUCUGUGAUAACAAUUGAUUUUGGAAAAGUUGUCAGAAAUGAAGUGAUAUGAAAUAUUAUCCUAAAGUGCACCUAAAAAAUUUCCUAAAAGGCAUUUAGAUAAACUAUCCUAAAAUGUACUUAAAUGACCUAACUUAAAGUAUACUUAUAUGUAAUGAACUAAAAUGUCUCUAGAUGAACUAUUUUAAAGUGUGCUUAAAUGUAAUGGACUAAGAUGUAACUAAGAAAUUUCCUAAAAUGCAACUAAGUGAGCUAAACCUAAAAUGCAACUAAAUAAACUAAGCUAAAGUGUAAUUAAGUGAGCUGAAUCUAAGGUAUCAUUAAGUGAGCUAAGUUAAAGUGCAACUAAAGGAAACUAAACCUAAAAAAUGGAUCUAAGUGAAUUAAGUUAAGGUGUCACUAAGUGAGCUAAGAUAAAGUACAACUAAAUGAGUUGAACCUAAAGUGCAACUAAAUGAGUCGAACCUAAAGUGCAACUAAAUGAGCUAAGCUAAGGUGUUACUAAGUGAGCUGAGUUAAGGUACAACUAAGUGAAUUAAACCCAAAAAUGUGUGAGCUAAAUUAGAGUGUCACUAUGUGAGCUAAGGUAAAGUGCAAUUAAAUGAGCUAAACCUAAAAUGCAACUAAAUAAAUUAAGCUAAAAAUGCAACUAGUGCAACUAAAGGAACUAAACCUAACAAAUGCAUCUAAGUGAAUUAAGUUAAGGUGUCACUAAGUGAGCUAAGCUAGAGUACAGCUAAAUAAGCUGAGUUAAGGUACAACUAAGUGAAUUAAACCCAAAAAUGUGUGAGCUAAAUUAGAGUGUCACCAUGUGAGCUAAGGCAAAGUGCAAUUAAAUGAGCUAAACCUAAAAUGCAACUAAAUGAACUAAGCUAAAAAUGCAACUUAGUGAACUAAACCUAAAAUGUAGUUAAAUGAGCUAAACCUAAAAAUGCAUUUAAAUGAGUUAGACUAAUGCAACUAAGGUCACAAUUGGGAUCCAUAAAAAUCUCUUGACAACGAAUCUCUAAAGGUGACUUAAAAAUAACACCAAAUGAGAGAAAAACACUUAGAAUAACAUGUGCUACUAAGACAAAAUGGAGGAUCUACAAGUGCACCACUCCCCUUCUUCCUGUUCGUAGAUUCCUAUAAUUACCUGUUUCCAAAGGGGGUUCCUUUUACUAACAAAUCUUUAGGACCAUUUUCUCAACAAAGCCUUAUUAAGAAUGGAUAAGUUUCUAAUGCCCAAACCCUUUUUUUAUUUUUCCAUGCAACAAAUAAACCAGUUCACCAAAUGAGGCUUGUGAGUCAUAGGCCUCCUUUCCCACAGAAAAUCCAUUUGAAUAUUUUCUAACUCAUAACUAUCUUUUUCGGGAUGGCAAAAAGGGACAUGAAAUAAAUCGUUAAGUUAGACAAAGUACUCUUUAUCAGAGUUUGUCUUAUCCCCUUUGAAAGAUAUUGUCUUUUCCAUAAAGCAAGCCUUUUCUAAAAAUGUUCUUCUAUUCUGUAACGACUUGCACCCAACCAUGUAGAUAUUGUCUGCUUUGGGCCUAAGGGGGCCCCUCACGGUUUUAAAAUGCGUCUACUUGGUUAAGUGGAGCUUCUACAUAUAUAGUGUUAUAAACUUUCUCCCCUAUUCGAUGUAGGACAUCAUAAACACCCUUCCAUGCAGACACGACGUCCUCGUUGUGUCCCAUGGGAUUGCGGGGUCAAACAGACAAACAUCCCUUACAGGGCCAAACAAACCCCGACACCGGGGUCAGGGAUCGGUUCUGAUACCAUUUAUAACGACCCGCUCUCAACCGUGUAGAUAUUGUCCGCUUUGGACCCAAAGGGGUCCUCACGGCUUUAAAACGCAUCUACUUGGUUAAGAGGAGCCUCUACAUAUACAGCGCCAAGAACUUUCUCUCCUAUUCGAUGUGAGACAUCACAAACACCCUCUCAUGCAGACAUAACGUCCUUGUUGUGUCCCAUGGGAUUACGGGGUCAAACAGACAAACACCUGUUUGAGUCCAAAGCGGACAAUAUCUACACAAUUGAGAGUCAGUCGUUACAAAUGGUAUUAGAGCCGAUCCUCGACCCCGGUGUGGGGGUUUGUUUGGCCCCGUAAGGGGUGUUUGUCUGUUUGACCCCGAAAUCUCAUGGGACACAACAAGGACGUUGUGUCUGCAUGAGAGGGUGUUUGUAAUGUUCCACAUCGAAUAGGGGAGAAAGUUUCUGGCACUAUAUAUGUAGAGGCUCCUCGUAAUCAAGUAGACGCGUUUUAAAGUUGUGAGGACCCCUUUAGGUUCAAAGCGGACAAUAUCUACACGGUUGAGAGCGGGUCGUUACAUACUCUGUCCCAAACCUUAUAAAACUUGUCAGGGGCUCCUAAUGGUGGGCCUAAAUAGGUAGUAGGAAGAGCACCCGCCUUACAACCUAAAAUCCCAACAAGCUCCUCCAAGUUAGAGACAUCUCUAAUAGGGAUCAACUCACUUUUCUCUAGGUUGAUCUUUAGCCCUAAUAUCAUUUCAAACCAUAUAAAGAUCUAGCUCAAGUAUUCUAAAUUCUCUUUGCUAGCAUCACAAAGAAUGAGUGUGUCGUUUGCAAAAAAUGAAGUGGGAGACCUCCACCCUCAACCCUUUACUAAGAGGCCAUCAAUAAAACCCCCUUCUUUUGCCUCAAGAAGAAUGCGAGAAAGAGUCUCCAUUGCCAGAAUGAAAAGAUAAGGAGACCAAGGGUUUCUUUGUCUUAACCUCCUAGAGCUUUGGAAGAAACCUGAAGAGGAUCCAUUUACCAAGACCGAGAAACAUGCUAUAGAGAUACACCAUUUAAUCCAACUAAUCCACUUGGAUCUGAAACUCAUUUUCUCUAACAAAGUAAGGAUAAAACUCCAAUCAACAUGAUUAUAAGCUUUUUCAAUGUCAAGCUUACAGAUGAUUCAUCUCAAGUUGCCUUUAAUUCUAGAAUCAAUGGCCUCAUUUGCUAUCAAAACAACAUCCAAAAUUUGUCUACUCACCAUAAAAGCAUGCUGAAAAUCUAAGACUAAGUUGCAUACCACCUUUUUAAGUCUGUUUGCAAGGACCUUAGCUAGAAGCUUGUCAACCCCCAAAGAAAAAAAUGAUCACAUACUCAAAUUAUACCAUUAAAUAACCAACUUCCUAUGCCUUUCUUUUCCUCUUAUUUCUCUCUUCUCCAUGGCAUCAAACUUAAUUCCAGAGAGAACACAAAAGCCCAUAACGAUGUUGAUAUCAGACAUUGAAUAAAUCGGGUUCAAUGAAAUCUAUUUCUAUUUUUCAUGUUAUCGCUAUUUCGGAUUAGCUAAUAUUGGCUUAUUAAGUCAUCCAUCGUCAUAAGUAAUUUGCCUAAAACAUCCUUCCAAUUAAGAAUCACCAUCCUUGUAGGGAUUAUUCCCAUAUAAAAAAUAAAAAAUAAAAUGAAGGGGUAAUUGAUUGUUAUGCCUAAACUUAAUUCUUGGAAGAAGAUUUUACCAGAAAAAAGAGAAAGAAAAGCCUCUUUAUUUUUUAUUUAUUUAUUUAUUUUUUAUUAUGGAAAGAAACUACAAGGUAGAGUAUCUGCACAUUCAAUUGAAAGAAUAACCAUAGUAAUCUUCAAAGCCAAACUUUGUAACAUCUCUAGGAAAAUCUGACCUUCAAGUGAAAGAUAUAUAAGUGCAGAUAACUUUUUUAGUUAAACAAUCUGUUGUUCUAUUUGCUUUUCUAUAAAUAUGACGAGAAAUACAAACAUUAAGGUCUUGAGUUAUCUUUCAAAUAUCUUCUAUUAACAACAUAAUAGAACUAGGAAUGUUACUCUUUUUGUUAUAACUAUUUAUCACUGCUUUGAGUUACCUUCAAUCUCUAGAUUUAAGAACCUAUUAUUCUUAGUAACUAACACAUCAUCUCUAAAAGUCAUACAUUUUGCAAUAAUUAUUGACGUCUUGCCUAUAUGCCUACUUAUAGCCAUUUUUAUUAUACUUUUAGAAUCUCUAAUAACCCAUCUUAAUGCACUUCUAUUCUCUACCCUGGAACUUUAAUUUGAAAUUUCCACUAAUCGGAGGAAUCUAAUGAAUCCAUUUUUGAACCACUCGAGGGACAAAUCGUCCUUCGUUUUGAAGUUGGGGAUCGGUCACAUAUUCCUAAAGAUUUUGAAAGUUAGAGGUAGCUUUCUCAAUAACAAGAAAGGGGUUUGGUUGGAUCUUCUUAAACACUAUUUGAUUUCUAUGGAUCCAUCCAUUCCACAAGAUGAUAGCAAAUUUUUCCAUAGGACUGUUGAAAAUCUUACAAUUAAUUUUAUAGUUUUUAUACACCGUUUCAAUCCAUGAUAAAAAAUCACCUUCAAACAAAAGAGAUGUAGGACAAUUAAACUUGAUGCGGUCCCAAAUUCCUUGGACAAAAAGGCAACUUUUAAAAAUAUGGUCAAUAUUUUCCCUAUUAUGAUUGCAAAGACAACACAUGUUCGAAAUUUCCAUUCGUCUAGCUAUUAGGAACUCGCAAGUAAGAAGAGCAUUUCUAAUAACUAGCCAUAAGAAAAAAUUUAAUUUUGUCAUAAGAUUUAAAUUCCAAAUCCAAUGUGGUAUUUUGGAUCUAGGGUGCAUCAAAGGCUUUCUUAUAGCCCAAGUGGCUAACUUAAGAGUGAACUUACCAUCUUGUGAGAAUUCCCAAAAAAUCCUAUCACAUAAGGGAGAGGAAGGAAUUGGGAUUGCUUUAAUAUCUGCUAGAACAUUUAGAGGGAGGAUUGAGGAAAUAGACUAUAGAUUCUACUCUUUGAAAUCCUGAUUUAUAAAGUCAUACACUUUGGCAUACCAAUUGAUGUAAUGUAAGUGAUUUUCAUCCACAAAAGAAAUAAGUGGCGACAUGUAAACCCAAAAAUCUGUCUAAAAGUAGACUUUCCUCCCAUCUCCUAUGCACCAUUUUAGCCCAACUCCAAUAUAUUUUCUAUGGUUAAUGACUUCCCUCCAAACAAUAGAAUCUCCUUUCUUUUUUGGGAUCCUGAAGAAAUUGUUGUUUUUAAUAUAUUUUCAGAAUUCUAGUGAAAUGGGGAGGGGAAGUUAGACCGAACGUGUUGGAAAUCGAAGGAGAGGAAGAAAGCUACGUCGUGCCUCUCUGGUGGGAAUGGUGGCCGGUGUUGAGGAGGAAAUGUAGGGACGAAGCUGAUCGUCAAAGCAGGGAGGUCAGGGGUGAGGAGGAAACACGCGCGGGGCAGCGAGUGAUGAAGGGCUGGGGGAGCGGGAGGCCCGAGGUGCUGCAACCUUCUGACGAUGGGACGGUGUUGCAGGGGGCGGGUCGGGUCGGAUCGAGUCCGAUCCAGAAUUAAGCCCGUCAAACUGUAAUUGGGCCUCACCUGAUGAAACGAUAUCCUUAAGCCCAAUCGUGGGUUCAAAGGAAACAAGGAGGGAGGACGGGCCCAGUCUAUUGCUUGGGUCCAUGGAUUUGAAAAAUAAAGGGGUGGCUGUAAGUGAGGCUGGCCCAGACGAAGGCCCAUCGGAAGGUGUGGGUUGCUAUUUUAAAGAUCCAGCUUGGUCUCCAGCCCAGCUAACAAAUAAAGCCAUAUUGGGUUAUAAGGCCUGCACUUCAUGGAAGGGCUCUAAGGCAUUGGCAGCCCAAGAGGUGACGAGCCUUAGUCUGAAGGGUCCUGCGCACAAGCAUCUUCCAGAAGCGGAAUUCUUUGCUGCGAGGGAGAGUGAGGAGACAAGGAAGUCACAAGGAGGGGUGAGGCUGACAGAGACGGAUAGGGCGCUGGAGGAGGAAUCAAAGAGGUAUGGAAAGGGGGUUGGUUUCAGGGGGAAAAGGGAAAUGGGGAAUUCUCAUCUUAAUCUUCUUUCUUUUGAUCGGACUCCAGGGGGGGAGUCUUUCGAUCACUCUGGGGAUUUGGUGGAGGAGGGCUGGGCCGAUAAAUCACUGUGGCUAACAGUGUAUAAGGCAUGCAAUGAAAGAAUCAAGGAAUGUAAGGAAUCGGGAGGUAUCCAAUGCAACGGUGACAAAAGUAGGGAGAUGGAAAGGGCAGGCGAUAUAGAUGAUGCUCAAGUUGUGAGAAGUGAGAUGGAGGGUAAUUGGGAAGAGAGUGGUUUGGCAAGAUUCAGCAAGUUUCUGGGCUUCUCUACGGAGGGAUUAGAGAAGGAAAUUCUGAAUUUUUUGACAAAGAUCAGGAAAAGAAAGGAGAAAAUACAUAGCAAAGAGUUAUUGGAAAAGUCUAAAUUUGAAAGGGAGUUAAAACGUUUAGAAUGUUCCAUAAACUAUGAGGGAGGGCUGAAACAGAAAGGUUUGGUACAGGGCAAAGGGCGUCAAAUAGUAAUUGUCCAAUGAAGGUGAAAAUUUUGAGCUGGAAUGUGAGGGGGGCAAAUGAUAGCUCCAAAAGAAAAGUGAUUAAGACGUUUAUAAGAAAUCAGAGGGUGGACUUAUUGUGCAUUCAGGAGACAAAAGUGCAGUGCAUGACGGAUAGCAUUGCGAGAAGUAUAGGAUCCGGGAGAUUCUUAGGCUGGAAAGCAGUGAAUGCGGAGGGAGCUUCGGGAGGUAUUCUUAUAUGCUGGGAUAGAAGGGCUCUGGAAUUGCUAGAUUGGGAGGAGGGUCAGUUUACCUUGUCCUGCAGAUUUCGCAAUGUAGAAGACGGAAAUGUAUGGGUUUUUAUGGGAGUGUAUGGUCCUUUUUCUAAGGAAGAGAGGGCGGCUUUGUGGGGAGAGUUUGGGGCGAUUAGAGGGCUGUGGGAGGAUCCUUGGUGCAUAGGGGGGGAUUUUAACAUUACUUUAUUUUCAAGGGAAAGGAGUGGGCAGAGGAGGAUAAAUUCAGCAAUGAGAAAUUUUGCUGAAAUUGUGGAUGAUCUGGGGCUGGUGGAUCUUCCUCUUCAGGGGGGAGACUUUACUUGGAAUGGGGGCCUUCAUAAUCAGUCUUGGGCUCGUUUGGACAGGUUUCUUGUGUCUCCUAGUUGGGUAGAUCAAUUCAGUGGGAUUUAUCAGUGUCGGCUGCCCCGGCCGGUGUCCGAUCAUUUCCCAAUUAUGCUAGUGGGGGAUGGGAUAAGACGAGGGCCGACCCCUUUCAGAUUUGAAAAUAUGUGGCUCAAGACUGAGGGCUUUAAAGAGCUAGUACGCAAUUGGUGGCAAGAAAUUGAUGUUAGGGGUAGUGCUAGCUACAAGUUGGCUAUUAAAAUGAAGGAAAUCAAACAGAAGCUGAAAGUGUGGAAUAGAGAAGUAUUUGGCAAGCUGGAGAGCAACAAAUCUGCAGCUUUGCAACAGGUGGAAUUUUGGGACAGGGAGGAAAAGGAUAGAGUUCUGACUAUGGAGGAAUCAGAACUUAAGAAAGAGGCAAAAGAAGAUUACAAAAAAUGGGUGAUUAUGGAGGAGACUCACUGGAGACAACUUUCUAGGGAGAUAUGGCUGAAAGAGGGGGAUAGAAACACGGGCUUCUUUCAUCGCAUGGCAAGUGCGCACCGUAGAAACAAUUGCAUGGAGAAAAUUAAGAUUAAUGGGGAGUGGUUUCUAGAGGAGCAGGAAAUUAGAGAAGGAAUUGCUAAUGCGUUCAAAGAGUUUCUUUCGGAAGAUACGGGGUGGAAGGCGGAUAUUGGGAGUCUCCAGAUAGAUCAGAUCAGUCAAGAAGAGGCUGAGAUUUUGGAGAGGCCCUUUACAGAGGAGGAGAUUCAGGGGGCCUUAAUGGAGAUGAAUGGGGAUAAAGCCCCUGGGCCGGAUGGGUUUACUUUGGCUUUUUGGCAAAGUUGUUGGGAGUUUAUGAAAGAGGAGAUCAUAGAAAUGUUCAAGGAAUUCUAUGAGACUAGUUCUUUCCUCAAAAGUUUAAACAACACUUUUUUGGUCUUGAUCCCCAAGAAAUGUGGUGCUGAGGAUCUUGGGGAUUUUAGACCUAUAAGUCUGUUAGGGGGCCUCUACAAGUUAUUGGCUAAGGUGCUGGCCAACAGAUUGAAGAGAGUGGUUGGUAAGGUGGUCUCAUAUUCUCAGAAUGCCUUUGUGAGGGGAAGGCAGAUCCUUGACGCCUCUCUGAUAACAAAUGAAGUGAUAGACUCCUGGCAAAAACGAAAAGAAAAGGGUCUUAUAUGCAAGCUGGAUAUAGAGAAAGCCUAUGAUAGUAUCAAUUGGAAGUUCCUAUUGAAGGUGAUGCAGAAAAUGGGCUUUGGGUCUAAGUGGGUGGGGUGGAUGUGGAGUUGUCUAUCUUCAGCAAAAUUCUCAGUGAUGGUUAAUGGAGUGCCUGCAGGCUUCUUUCCUAGUUCAAAAGGUCUUAGGCAAGGAGAUCCCUUGUCUCCUUAUCUCUUUGUUAUGGGAAUGGAAGUGUUGGAUGUUCUUAUUAAGAGAGCAGUGGAGGGGGGCUUUCUAUCAGGGUGCAACAUAAGGGGCGGUAGGGAAUCUUCUUUGCAUAUCACUCAUCUGUUCUUUGCGGACGAUACCAUCAUAUUUUGUGAAGCCAGAAAGGACCACUUAACUCAUUUAAGUUGGAUCUUGUUUUGGUUUGAAGCGGCUUCAGGACUAAAGAUUAAUCUAGCAAAGAGUGAAAUCAUUCCAGUGGGAGAGGUGGUGGGGAUGGAAGAGCUGGCUGUUGAGCUAGGGUGCAAGGUGGGUUCUUUACCUUCUCAGUACUUGGGUCUACCCUUAGGGGUCCUCAAUAGAGCGCCUCAUAUGUGGGAUGGGGUGGAAAAGAGGGUCAGGAGAAGACUAGCUCUUUGGAAGAGGCAGUAUAUGUCUAAAGGGGGAAGAGUUACUUUAAUAAAAAGUACCUUGGCUAGCAUGCCAAUAUAUCAAAUGUCAAUCUUCAGGAUGCCUAAGGUGGUGGCUAGAAGAAUUGAGAAAGUGCAAAGGGACUUUUUAUGGGGAGGAGGACAUAUGGAGGGGAAAACUCACUUGGUUAAUUGGGAGGUGGUUUGUACAGAUAAAGCUAGAGGGGGGCUAGGUAUUCGAAAGCUAGCCUUGUUGAACAAAGCGUUACUUGGCAAAUGGAUAUGGAGGUUUGCUAGUGACAAAGAUAACCUUUGGAAACAAGUGAUCAAGAUGAAGUACGGACAGGAGGACUUCGGGUGGAAGACAAAGAAGGCUAGGGGGGCGGUGGGAGUAGGGGUUUGGAAGGAAAUUUGGAAAGAAUCAGAAUGGUGCUGGAAUAACAUGAGUCUCAAAGUAGGGAAGGGCAACACAAUCAGAUUUUGGACAGAUGUGUGGUGUUCAGAGAUAGCGUUGUCCCAUUGUUUUCCUCAUCUCUUUGCUAUGGCGGUUCAAAGGAACUCAACGGUUGAGGAAAUGUGGGACCAAAAUUCGGGUCGCGGAAAUUGGAAUCUUAAUUUCUUGAGGGAUUUCAAUGAUUGGGAGAUGGGGUUGGUGGGGGAUUUUCUUCAGGUUUUGAGGGGCCACAAACCCUCUGGGGUAGAAGACUCAGUCCUGUGGAGUAAAGAAAGAAGGGCACACUUCAGGGUAAAGGAAGCUUAUAAUUUGCUGGUGAGAUCUGAUGAUACAAGUUUUCCUUCAAAAAGCAUUUGGGUGACAAGGGUGCCAACUAAAGUUUGUUUUUUUGCAUGGGAGGCGACGUGGGGGAGGGUGCUGACUUUGGAUAGACUUCAAAGAAGAGGCUUACAACUUCCAAAUCGAUGCUUUCUGUGUGGUUGUGAGGAAGAAAGUGUAAAUCAUAUUCUCUUACACUGUACAGUGGUCAGAGUUCUAUGGGAUAUAGUGUUUGGUUUAGUAGAUGUGAAAUGGGUCUUCCCAGAAACUGUAAAGGAUGUUUUAGUUAGUUGGAGGGGCUCGUUUGUGGGAAACAAAAGGAAAAAGAUUUGGAAAGCCAUUCCGUUGUGUAUUUUUUGGACGGUGUGGAAGGAAAGGAAUAGAUUAACAUUUAGGGGGGGGGGGGGGGGGGGGGUUGAAAAUUCAAAAAUUAAAAAAUUUUUUUUUUUUCAUUUUUGGGGGCGGGGCCAAAUUUUUUUUGGGGGAGGGGGGGUUUCCCCUUUAAGGAUUUUUUGGGGGGGGGGCUUCCCCUUAAAGGGGGGGGUUUUGGUUUUUUUUUUUUUUUUNNNNNNNNNNNNNNNNNNNNNNNNNNNNNNNNNNNNNNNNNNNNNNNNNNNNNNNNNNNNNNNNNNNNNNNNNNNNNNNNNNNNNNNNNNNNNNNNNNNNGGGGGGGGGGGGGGGGGGGUGUUGAAUAUUCAGAAGUUAAAGAAUUUUUUUGUUUGCAAUUUGUGGAGCUGGGCCAAACUGUAUGUAGGUGAGGAGGCGUUCUCUCUUAUAGGAUUUCUUGAGUGGAUGGCUUCCACUUAAAGGGAGGGGUUUGUGUUUUUUUGUUGUUUUUGAGGCUUAGAUGCCUUGUAUACCCCCUGUAUACUUUAUGGCGUCUUGCCUUUUGAAUGAAUAUAUUUUACUUAUCAAAAAAAAAUAUACUUUUCUCUCUUUAUCCUAGCCCAAAUGUUAUAUUUAUUCGUGAGGAUUCUCCACCCUAGUUUAGUAAUUGUAGCUUUAUUAACAUCUUCAUAACUCCUAAUUCCUAGCCCUUCUUUAGAUUUAGGUCUACGGACGUCAUCCCAAGCUAUCAAAGGAAAAUCUUUAGACUCAUUAGACCCUACAUUUGAUAACCAGAGGAAGCUUCUGUUUGAUUCUAUCUAGAUCCUCAUUAUUUCUCAUUGUAAGUUUGAAACAAUUCAUAACAUUUUGCGGGGAGCUAGCCAAAUUAGCCUUUAUUAAGACUAUUUUACCAGCUCUUGAAAGGAACUGAGCUUUCCAAGAUGCAAGCUUUUUUUGAGAUUUGAGAAUUACUAUAGAAAAAGUGCUUCUUUUAACUACCUUGAAUUAUUGGACAACCAAGAUAUUUGCUAAUGCUAUGGGAAAUAGGAAUGCUUAGAGCUUCCCCAAGCCUCCUCCUCAUAGCUCCUUGAAUAUAUAACUAGAAAUCUGGACUGAGGAUUUAUGAAAAUUCACAAGCUGUCCUGCCAUGGCACAAAAAUGAUCCAAAAUCCUAUUGAUAUUUGCACAAGCAUUUUGAGAUGCUUUAGCAAAGAUGAUACAGUCAUCGGCAAACAUAAGGAAAGGAAUUCUAGGUCCAUUUCGAUGAGUUGCGAUUCCUAGAUGAUUUCUAGGGUUCUCCGUUUCUUAUACUAACUCUCUACCCAUAUAUUCUGUUACCAAUCUAAGGAAUGUACGUGUAGAUAGGAGGAAAGUUUUAGAGAGCAGGAGGAUGAUUGCCUGAGAAAAGAACAGGAAAUGAUGAGUAAACUCUCUGUUCAAAAUAGUUCCUGCCUAUUCUAGAAGCAUACUUUAUUUUAACCGUACUCAAUGAGUUCCUUCACUUCCUUGGCCCUCACCAAUCAACCCAUGUUAAGUAUAUUUCCUCCUUGUCACAUAGUACGAUGAAGUCCCCUAGUUCCAGAACCAAUAUUUUUUGAUAAAUGAAGACUCAAAUUAAAAUAAAAAGAGCCUCCAGAAAAGCGGCCCAAGAUAUACAAGAAAACCCAAUAUCCCCCACUACGCCCAGCAAACUCGCAACAUAUCCCCACCUGCACCUCACUUUUUAUUCAAAUUCACCUUCAAUCUGGAUGCUGCUUCAAAAUAAAAUAAGACGGUCUUGGCUUCCUCUCCGGUUCACAAAUUUUCCAUUUCUACUUCUCAAUGUAGAGGAAAUACUUCCUGCUUUACAAAUAGACUUUAGCUCAUUGAAAUUUAUAAUUUUUGCAUGAUUAUAUGAUAGUACUCAAACUUGAAUGUAAGAUGCUUCUUUCUGUUUGAUUUAUGAGUUCUGGAACUUCAUUUUCCUAUGACCUUCAAGCAAUAUGUAUUAUCUCCAAUUCAGGUUCUGAUAUGCAAUCCCAUUAUUGUAAUUUGUGUCUAGGUGCAUAGGGAUGAUUUCUUGCCAAAUGUGAAACUUCAGCUUUUUGCUCUCAUUGCAAAGCAACAAGCUUUUCACCAACUUAGAUCAGUUGAGCAACUUGGGUACAUCACUGAGCUCAUGCUGAGGUAUAGAGAAAAUAAAAAUGAAAAAAUGAAAAAAUGAAAAAGAAAUUGUACCUAAACUUGUUUAAUUCAGAAUCUCUUCUAUUAUAUUUAAAAUUUCUAAAAUCUCUCUCAAUGUAGGAAUGAUUCUGGUAUUCAUGGAGUGCAGUUUAUGAUUCAAUCUACAGUAAAGGUACAUAAAAUAGUUCUCUGCUUUGCAUGUCCCCAUUUGCUGCAUCUAAAACACUCUCUGGAUCUUGACAGGGUCCUGGACAUAUUGAUUCAAGAAUCGAGGAGUUUCUAAAGAUGUUUGAGUUUAAACUUUAUGCAAUGUCUGAAGAUGAAUUUAAGGUGAGAUAAAUAAUGCCAUUUUGUCUUCAGUAAUUUUUCCUUUCUAUACUGAUCUGUUUUUUGUAAUGACCUCUAUCAUACUUGUUGAAGCAAUUCAUCUAUUUGAUCACUUCCCAACCAUAAAGAAAGUAGAUAUACCUCUUCCCCCUCUAAUAAUUUUGAAGAUGUUUUAGAAGUUUUCUCUGAACUUUAAUAUUCUAUUUCAAUCUCCUUAAAAUGGGAAUGUGAAAUAAGAUGGAGAAAAUUGUAAAUCAAAAUCAGACACUAGACUUUCCUGUUUGUGGAGGAAAAGCUGAACCUUCUAUAUUUCUAACUACAAAACUAGUUUGUAAAAUCGAACCCUUCAACCUACUUGCAAGGAAGGAUGGGAUUUCUGUGAGGAUCUUACCUACAGCGCUACCUGGCCAAAGAGGCAGGAGUGUCUGCACCAAUUUUUUAUUUUAGCUACUGACCUUCACCUCUGUUUUUUGUCCGUAGACAAAAAAUUUCUGACUCUUUUCCCUUACAUAAGAUCGUAAGCCAAAGGCAUCUAACUUAACUCUGCUGCUCUAGGAGGGAUCCAAUCAUGAUGCAAUACUUAAAUAUUGUGAGGGCUAGGAAGUUUAUCAAAUCCUAUCAGCUGUUGCCCCCACAUGAUCAUGAACUCAAGCAAUUGGACUCAUAGAAUAUCCUGCACAUUGAACAGAUUUUAGGUGUUUGGUAACAUGAAUGGGGUAUCAAUGGAUUUUAUUCUCGUCUUUUUUGAACGGCGAGUUCAACUGAACCUUCUUGGUGAAUUAUUUUUACCAUACAUCUGCCUUAAAAACUCAGAGGUCUGGCCCUUUUAAUGUGAAAUAACAACUGGAGUGAUGAUUUAUAAGGUAAUGUAGAUGAAGUGAUUGAUUUGAAGCAUGUGUAUUCCGUCUUGGUGAUUAUGGAUUUCAUGCAUAUCUUUCUUUUUCUUUUUAAUGGCUCCAUGAUUACAGCUGUCCCCUUUUGGGGAGCUUACGGCCCUUUUAACAGUGAAAUAACAGCUGAGUUGAUCAUUGACAGAGUAAUGUGAAUACACUCGUUGAUAUGAAGCUCGAGAAGUACAAGAAUUUAUGGGAAGAAUCUGGAUUUUACUGGCAAGAAAUCUAUGAUGGGACCCUCAAGUUUGAUAGGACAGAAGCUGAGGUAUGAGCAUAAUUAUUUUUUUCCCCAUCCUUUAGAAGUGAAUCCCAUGAUUUCUCAAGGUGGCAUGAACCAUUCAAAACAGACCCUUUUACCUAACACUUCCAAAUGGCGAUGAACAGGUUGCAGCAUUGAAGAAGCUAACCCAAAAAGAACUUAUAGAUUUCUUCAACGAACAUAUAAAAGUCGGUGCACCUCAGAAGAAGACAUUAAGUGUACGAGUUUAUGGGUGCCUACAUACUUCAGAGUAUGCAGAGGAGCAAAAGGAAGCAAAUCAACCCAUCCAAGUUAAGAUAGAUGAUAUUUUCAAGUUCAGAAAAUCACAACCCCUGUAUGGCUCAUUCAAAGGAGGCCUCGGACACGUGAAGCUGUGAAGAUAUGUCAAAUCUUGUACCCAAUUCUUCAUGAAGAAAAUUGAACUGCAAACCGAGUUAUAGAAUGUAGUGGCCAGAAAACUCAUCUGAGGAAGCAGGUACGUCAUCCAUUUGUUUUUCAAAGAUGGAGAUGAUAUUUGAUACUUGGUACCAAACUCAUGGCAUCGUUUCUGGUUUCUCUUUGGAAUUAGUUUCACAGAUUGUGUCCUUUUACGUGUACUUUUACAUGUACCAUUUGUGUAAUUUAAUAAAAUUUAUCUAAAUAUUCCAAUAAAUCUCAUGGACUGUAUGUCGAUUGACCAAAUACCUAAUCUAUUUCAAAAGCAUGUCAUCGAUUAAGAUGAUUUGAUUUCAAUAUGUAUAUUUGGUUGGCAAAAUUGGAUAUCAUCUUACGUGUAUGAGGACUUUAUUUUAAAUAUGACAUGAUAUCAAUGGGCUAUGAUGCUCAUGUUUGCCUUUGGUUUGUAUAAAGAUAAAAAAAUGGAAUGAAAAAUAUAUUAUGUUUCUUUUAAUAUUUGUUUAAAAUAAAAUUAAAAAAAUUGUGUAUCUUAAUAUUUGCUAUUAAAACAAGCAUGACAUUUUUCUCAAAUUUAGUUUUAUUUACAAAUUAUUUUACAAUUUAUUAUAAAUUUUUUUGUUUAUAAUAUUCAUGAUUAAAAGUUUUAAAAUUUAUAAAUGAAAAAUAUUAUAUUAUGUUGUUUAAUGUAUACAAAUAUUUUUCAUAUAUUAAUAAUUAUACAUAAGCAUUAGUUAAUAAUGUAUUUGAAAAAGUCUCCAAUUUUUUCUUGUUUUGAAGUACAAUUUUAAUUAUUUUUAAUAAAAAAAGCUAGUUACAUAUAUCAAAAUAUGAGAGAAUAAUGGUUUGUUUGACAACUGUAUUUUAGAAUAGUUUUUUGUUCUUUAGAUCAUUUGAUAAUUAUAAAUUGUUUUCUAUUUUUUGUUCUUAAAAGCAGAAAAUAGAGUUUUUUUUUUAUAAAACAUCUUUUAAUUGUUUUCAUAUCUUUUUUAGGGUGUUUUAAAAAAUAAUUAUAUAAGCAUGUAGAAUAAUUAAAAAUAAAAUAUUGGAUAUAAAAAAUAUUUUUAGAACAUAUUUAAAACAAGUUUAAAAUAUUUUAGAUUUUCAAAUAGGCUUUUGUUCUAUAAUUUUCAAAAAUUAUUCUUGAAAAUUGUUUUUUAAGAACCGUGUAUUCAAAAAUAAUUUUUUGUUUUUUACAAUAAAAAAAUAGGAAAAUAAAUUUGGCAACAAAAGAAUUGUUUUUAAAAACAAAAAACAUAGUAUUUUUCAAAAAUCGUUUUUAAGUUGUUUUUUUUUUACUUGUUUUCGAAUGUUGUUUUGAAAAAUAAUUAUAAAAAUAAAAAAAUGAUUAAAAAUUAAGCAUUAUAAAAAUUAUUUUUAAACAUGUUUGAAAAAGGUUCAAAACUUAAAAUGUUUUUAAUGUUUUUAAACAUAGCUACUAAAUAGGGUCUUAAUGAUUGAAAAAAAAAAGGUAAAAAAGAAAAGAAAGAUUAAAUAAUAAACAAAUUUGAAUCUAAUAAAAUUUACCAAAUUUUCUUCAUUUUUUAAAAUAGAAGUUAUCAAAUAUAAUAAAUUAUUUUUAUAAUAAAAACGAAAAUAGAGCUUUAAAAUGUCAAAAAGACUGUUAUCUUUUAAAAAUACAACUUCAAAUAUAUAUUUUAUAUUGUAUCAUUUUUUUUUCAGAUUUCUUUUCAUUUGUGUUCAUAUCACUGGAAAGUAUAAUAGAAAUUGAAAGAUAGAAGGGAAGAGAUAAGUGAUAAGAGAGAAGAGGAUGAUAAUAAUUGAUAUGGUGGAAAGCUAUUUGUACCCAUAAAUAAUAAUUAUUUAAAAACAAACUCUAAUAUAUUAAAAUUAUAAUUUUAAAAAAAGAUUUAUGAAUUUUCUUUGUGAUGAAAAUUAUAUAUAUAUAUAUUUGUAUGAAAUACGAUUUUAGUAAUUAUCCAUUAAGUAAUAUUUAUUUAUUAAUAAAUAAAAAAUAAAAAUAAGUUUUCUCCUAUAUAUUUAUUUUCAUUUCUUAGGUUACGUUGAUAGGAAAAGAGGAGAGUUUCAUGCAUAGGAAAAAAAAGAACAGACAGAAGCUCAAUACAACCCCGUAAACCCUUAACUCUCACGUCGUUUCUUCUUUUUCAUCCAAGGAUGCAGCAGAAAAUCAAAAUCAAUUUUCUGAAAUAAACUUCAAACCCUUUGAUCUGAUUUUUUUUUUUUUUUUGUUUAGGGAGUGUUGGAUUUUAUUUUGCAUUUUUGAUAGUUGCGAAAAUUGAGUACAGUUCAAUAUUAAAAUCCUCCUGAAAAAAGUUGUGAUUUUCUAUUUGUUAUUUUUUUUUUACUAUAGUUCUGUUUGGAUCCCAAGAAAAUAACUAGGUAAACGAAAGAAACUGCUGGAAUAAUGGAAUUAGAAGUUUAGAACUGACGUAAAAGAAGACAAUCAAUUAGACCAAAAACAAAAAUUGUGUUUGGGGAACUUGAGUAUUGAAAAUAGCUCUCGGUAAACCGUAGAAGUAUUGUAUACUCGUGUAAAAUACAAAAACUCCGAUGUGAUUUAUAGGUGUGACAACUUUGAUGUCAUAACCGAACACAAGCCUCUUGGAAAAACCUGUGAAAGUUCUCCAUCCAAGUGAGUGGUCCAGAAAGAGUCUACAUAAGGACAAAAUGUAAUUUUCCACGUAGAAACCACUGCUUUCUUGACUUGUCUGUUUCCUCCCACACUUUUUUGUUAGCAACAACUCCGCCUUUAUUGGCCCCAAACUGCCCAUCAAUUGACCAAAUACCACACUCUGAUGUUACCAUAGUCUCUCAUUGCUAUGAUAUUUUUUUUAAAAAUUUAUGUCAUGGUAUAGUUCCAGAUGAUACGUGUUCAUUUCUCAACUACUAAGUUAUUAAAUUGAAUAAAAAUCAAAUCAUGAUAGUUUACUUAAUGAUUAAUUUCAAGAAAACUUCUAAUAAAUUUGUUAUUAUUUUCGCAAUGUUAAGGAAUUUUAAGUGAUUUUAAAAUAUUUGUUUAGGUUAUGUUUGGUCCCGAAAAGUACAAAGGAAAGAAAAAAAGUAUUAAGAAAAAUGAUUUUCUCAUGUUUGGUUAUCUUAUAAAAUAUUCCAAAGAAAAUUAAAUAUAAUUAAAAUUAGUUAGAAAUUUAUAUAUUUUAAAAUUAUUUAAUCUUUAUAUUAAUGAGUUAAAAUAAAUAAAAUGAGUUUGAAGUAGUAAAUAAAAAUAAUUUAUCAUCUUUAAUUCUAUUUUUUAUUUUCCUUCACUUUUUCUUUCCUUUUACUUUUCCUCUCUAUUUUAUUUCCUUUGCAUUUUCCCUCAAAUUUUCCAAGAACCAAACAUAGCCUUGGGGCUCUUUGGUAAAACUUUAUACUUAUUACUUAAUAAUUUAAGUUGAUUUAAAAUUAAAUUAUUAACUUAAAAUUUAUUACUUAAUUUUUAUUUUAAGCAUUAAAAUUGUUUAUUACAUUUAAUUUCAAAUUUAUUUUAAAUCAUCAAAUUGAUAUAUUUAUCUUUAUAAAUUAUAAAUAAGAUAAAAAAUGUUAAGUAACAAUGAGAUCAUGGAAUAGCAAAAGAGAUUGUGGUGAUAAUUAUGACAAAUUGUAAUAAAAAAUAAAAUAAAAACGUAGAUUUAAAAACAAAUUAAUUAUUUUUAUUUAUUACUUAAAAUUGUUUUUAUUUUUAACUCAUGUCAUUAAAUCAUUUUACCAAAUAUAUUUAAUUUACAUAAUAACUUAGAUUAAGUUAUUAAGUUGGUUUUUGGAAUAUCCACUUAUAUUUUUUAUAUUGAAGAAAGUUCGUCUAAUGAUUUUCAAAUGAAAUUUUCAUUUAUUUGAUCAAAAGAAAUAAAAUAAUUUCAAAUUUAUCAAUACAGUUAUUCACAUAUGGUAGUCUAAAAAAUGACUAAUUUUUUAUUUUUUAUUUUUUUUAUAAAAAUGCCUUUCAUAUUUUUGGUAAAACAAUAUUAUCUUUUAAAACUUAUAUAAAAAUAAUAUAAAUAAUUCAAAUGUUAAAAAGUAUUUAUAUUAAAAAGGGGUAUUUUUCGGGGGUAUUUUACAUAUUUGAGAUUAUUUGAUGCUUUCAAUCAAAUAAUCCUUAUAUUAGACAUAAAUUAUUAGUAAAUAGCGUCAGCGGUGAUGAUUAAGAGGUCGGGGAACGGCAAUCUCCCUUUGAUUCGUUAAAUCUAUAUAAUUCUCCCCACAGACACGGCUUCUUUCUCCAAGAAGUCUACUGGGUACAGAGACCUAACCCUCUCCUCUCUUGAGAAAAAUUGCAUACAGAUAGAGAGGAGAAGAUAAUAAUCUUUCAGAUUCUUUCCAAGAAUGGGAGAAGCGGCGGCGGAGAUAGUGAAGCCUCGUACGGACACACGAGAGUACAGAAGAAUCGUUCUCCGGAACUCUCUCGAAGUCCUCCUCAUCAGCGAUCCUGAUACCGAUAAGG